rnacentral:lncRNA from 1 species
CCUCAACCACUCAAUCAUCCACUUCUUCUCUUCUUUGAACUCAAAGUCCCAGUUAAUAUUAGAAUCAUGGGUGUUGUCACUUAUGACUAUGAGUCUACCUCCCCAGUCGCCCCUUCCAGGCUUUUCAAGGCCUUUACUGUUGAAGCUCCGAAAGUUUGGCCCACGGCUGCACCUAAUGCAGUCAAGAGUAUUGAGGUUGAAGCUAAUCCUAGCUCUGGAAGUAUCGUAAAAAUCAACUUUGUUGAAGGUUAGUUCUUUCAUUGGCCUUUUUGUAGUCUGUUUUACACGAGUAUGUUGGAUAACAAGUAUUUAUUUGUUUAGGCCUUCCAUUCCAAUAUAUGAAGCACCAGAUAGGAGGACAUGAUGAAAAUAAUUUUUCAUACAGUUACGAUUUAAUCGAAGGUGGGCCUUUGGGGGACAAACUUGAAAAAAUCAGCUAUGAGAACAAGUUUGAGGCAGCUGCAGGUGGAGGAAGUAUUUGCAAGAGCUCAAUGAAAUUCUACACUGUUGGCGACAAUGUAAUCACUGAAGAUGAAAUCAAGGCUCUCAUUAAGGGAAGUGAGGGAGUUUACAAGCCUGUUGAAGCUUAUCUAUUGGCUAAUCCUGAAUCCUGCAACUAGGAUAUUGGUUGCUUUGAAUUCUGAUUCUUGGUUUUAAAGAGUGGUCAUUGCUUUUAAUGGUGUGUUUUUUAUAUUUUCUUUUUCCUUUUAAAACCUAAAUUGUCUUCUAAUUAUUUACAUAAGAGUGGUGGUGAUCGAGCUUUUGUCAUCUUUAUUUUCAUUACAGUCAAAGAAUUUGGGUUGUCUUUGACAUAUAUAGAAAUAAAAUAAACAAAUAAACUCAAAAAAAAAAAAAAAAAAGGUUUUACCUGGUAUAUUGAUGAGUGAAAAUUCACAGUCCAUAUUAGAGAUGUGCAUUCGGUGGUUGGAACGAUUUGAUUAUUUUAUAACAAUAAUCGAAUAAAUAAAAAAUUUUACUGCAAUUGAAUUAAUCGAACCAAACUUAAAAAGGUAAAAAUGAAACAACCGAACUGAAUUUAGUCAAUUCGAUUAGAUUUAGUUAAUCGAUUUUUGCUUUUUUUUGGUUUUUAACUUAGUUGAACUCCUCCGAUCCAAAAAUUCUUCACUGUUCGUGUCGGCAUGUUUGUUCCUCACAGAAUGGGAGCAAACAGUAGCCGCCUUACCUUUUGCUAUAAAAAGGAUUUUAGCCUUUGCUUUCAAAAUCAUCCCAAUCUCUCCAAGAAAGUGUGUAAUCUUUAUUUGUUUAGGCCUUCCAUUCUAAUAUAUGAAGCACCAGAUCGGAGGACAUGACGAAAAUAAUUUUUCAUAUAAUUACAGUUUAAUAGAAGGUGGGCCUUUGGGGGACAAGCUUGAAAAAAUUAACUAUGAUAACAAAUUUGAGGCAGCUGCAGGUGGAGGAAGUAUUUGCAAGAGCUCGAUGAAAUUUUACACUGUUGGGGACAGUGUAAUCACUGAAGAUGAAAUCAAGGCUCUCAUUAAAGGAAGUGAAGGAGUUUACAAGCCUGUUGAAGCUUACCUCUUGGCUAAUCCCGAAGCUUGCAACUAGGAUUUGGUUGCUUUGAAUUCUCAUGCUUGCUUUUAAAGAGGGAUCAGAUUUUAACGGUGUGCUUUUGAUAUUUUCUUCUUUGUCUUAAAACCUAUAUUGUCUUCCGAUUGUUGUAAAAAGAGUGGUGGUGGUGGAAUCAAGCUUUGAUAAUCUUUGACAUAUGAAAUAAACAAAAAUAUAAACUGGCAAAAAUAAUAAAAGCUUUACGUGGUAUAUAAUUUACAGUUUUCCUGAUAGACUACAAUUUUUUUUUACACUAAAACCUCGAUAAAUGAAUAUUUGAUAAAUUAAUAAUCUUGGUUAAAUAAUAUUUUUUCUUGGUCCCGACUUGAGUCAAAAGGAUAAAAUAAUAACCUGGCUAAAUGCAUAAUAUAAUAAUUUUUAGAAAGAAUCUUUAAGGGCCCAAUGAAAAUAUAAAAUAAUAAUUCAUUAAAUAUAUUAAGAUUUUUAUAUACCAUACAUAAAACUAAAAUGCUUUCUAGACAACUCUUACUCUUUUUCAAUUUUAUUCUUUGCUAAAAUAUACAUCUAUAGUUAACUGCUUCUUCUUUGCAUGUGAAUCAAAUACAGUUUUAUUUUUAACUUUUAGAAGGGCAUAAACCAAAUCUGGUAUAUUCUUCUUGUGUUGUAUUAAAUAAUUUUUCAAGGUAUCUACAACUAGAAAAGCCUCUUUUGGAGAAACAUGUGGCAAAACACUAUUGUCAUCAUCAGUUGGCACAUUCAUUACUCCUUGAAUAAUUUCUUCAUCCGUAGGUGACUUAAUCAAAGAUUCAUUUUCACUUGGAUAAUUUAAAAUCUGCUCAACAUCUAUGGCAUUUCUAUAGUGUAAAUCUGAAAUUACUUCUUUUAAUUUAUGAAUGUCUUCAACAUCACCAAUUUCUUGUUCGAGAGGCAUAUCCUCCUCGGAUCGAAUUUUGCAAAGUCGAAAACAAUUUGCAAUAGUUGUAGGCUUCACAUCAAUAUUCACUACAACAAAACAGGUUUUUAGCGGCAUUUUUAGUAGCGUUUGGACAAAAAACGCCACAAAAGGUUAGAGCUAUAGCAGCGUUUAUGAGAAAAACGCCGCAAAAAAAAUUUAUUUUAAACAAAAUGGAGCCGUUUUGCUUCCUGUCUAUUUAUUAUUUAACUAGUUUCUUUAUAUUAAAAAAAUACAAUUUAUUUUUAAUUGAAUGUUUAAAAUCUUUAGAAAAAAUUAAUGACAUAGAAAAAAUUUGAAAGUAAAAACAUAGAAAAAUAUAUGUUAAAAAUGAAAAAAAUUAAAAUACUAUUAUUUAAAAAUUAUAGUUUUUUAAUUUAUGUAUUAAAUAAUUUUUUAUAUAAUUUUAAAAGAGAUAAUAUUAAUUUUAAUAUAUUAAAAUUAUCAUUAUGGUUUAAAUUAUUUAAGAGAUAAUAGAUAAACUUUAUAUAUAAUUAAAAUUAAAAAAAUUGCUAACCCAUGCAUUUAUAGAAAAACAAAAUUAAUUAGUAAAUUGAAACAGUUAUUUAAAUUUCCUAAAAUAUUGAAAGAAUAUAUAAUUACAAAAGAGAAAAAAAUUUAAAGUUUUUUUUUUCAUAUUUUGAAUUUUUUUAUUUUCUUACAUAAAAAUUAUAUAAAAAUUUCAAAUUUUAUCUAAUUCUUUUAAAUAUUACUUAAAUUUUCAAAAAUUAUUUAUUUGAAAUUGAUAUGAAAGAUAUAAUAAUUCAAUAUAAAAAUUGUAAAAAAAAUAAUAUUUAAAUAAACGCCGUAAAAAAUCAUUUUAUUUUAGUGUUUAGGGUUUAGAAUUUAAGGUUUAAAGUCUAGGGUUAGGGUUUUAAGGUAUAUAGUUUAGUGUUUUGGGUUUAGGGUUUAAUGUUUUUGGGUUUAAGAUUUAGGGUUUAGUGUUUUAUAGUUUAGGGUUUAAGGUUUAGGAUUUAGUGUUUUAAGAUUUAGAAUUUAUGUUUUAGGGUUAGGGAUUUCAAUAAAAAUGACAAAAAAUUAAUUUAUUUUAGGGUUUAGGUAAGCAAGAAGAUUCUUUUUUUAAUUACUUUUGUACCUUAUAAUAUAUAUUAUUAAAUUAAUAUCAAAAGCAUAAUAAAGUAAAAAGGAGAGAGAAAUUCAUUAUUUCCAUAUUUCCUUAUACAAAAAUCCACCUCUUGGUAAUUUAGAAUUUGGGAAGUUAAGCUUAGCUCAAUUAGUGUGAGAAUUGUUGUCAACAUAAGAGAACAUGAGUUUGAGUAUGUUGAAAUGCAUUAUCUUCCUGUUUAUGAGUUGGGAAGGAAUUAUUAGUUGUUGUAGACAUAAUAUCAAAAAAGAAUUUGAGAAGUUAAAUUUUAUCAAAAUCAAUUUGGAUAAAUUCUAUCAACUGCACAAAAAAUUAAUCUUGUGGAUACAAACUCUUCAUAAGGAAGUUUGGUUUCAUUUUUUAAAAUUAUUUUCGUACACAAUUAUAAAAUUUUACAAAUUAAAUAUAUUGUUUGAAACAAAACAAACUUAUUUAAAGGAAUUUAAGAAAUAAUUAAACUAUAAAUAUUUAUUAGUAUCAAAGGCAUUAGCGGCGUUUAUGAUUAAAACGCGGCAAAAAAACAUUUUACUUUAAACAAAACGGUGCCAUUUUUAGUGGCAUUAAUGGUGCUAGGUGAAAAACACCGCAAUAGAGCGAGCAUUAGCGGAGCUAGGUAAAAAACGCCGGAAAAAAACAUUUUACUUUAAACAAAAUGGCGACGUUUUUAAUGGCAUUAGCGACACUAGGUGAAAAACGCCACAAUAGAUCGAGCAUUAGCGGCACUAGGUAAAAAUCAUCACAAACGGUCAUUUUGUUUUAUACGAAACUGCGUCGCUUUGCUCUCCUCCAUUUUAUCCCAACCCAUAUACUCGAAACACCUUAUAUUUUCCCCCAAAAAAAUUUCCCCAAAUCCCUAAAUUUUCCCCAAAUCAAAAUCCCAACCCAUUUGCUGCAUCGCCGUCGACUCAACCUUCUGCUGCAUUACCGUAACUGUCCCCUCUGCUGCGUCGCCGUCGCACUCCUCUGCCGCAACCAAUCAGUAAAUUUAACUCCUCUGCCGUCGCUUUUCCAAGAUUUAACAUGUCUAGAUUUUUAUUUAAUUAAAAUUUGACUUAUAAAAGGUGGAUUUUGGGACAUUAGAUCCCACUAAGGAGGGGAAUAAGAAAUCUUAGCCCUUGGUUUAUAUUAAGUUGGAGUAGAUAAAUUCCAGUAAGGAAGAAAGGAGAGGCUGCUUCUAUUUUCAUCAAGUAGAGUCGGUUAGGAGAAGCGUAAUGCCAAGAGAAGAAACUGUAAGUCUCCCUGCUGGUUUUCUUGAAUUUUAAAUGAAACUUAAUUAUCAAAUGGUCACGUAUAUAUACUUCCCAUCCAAUAGGAAAUUCGAUUGUGAGUUGUUGAAGAACCUAAGUAAUAUUUCUUAAGGAGAAAGAGGUAAGAAAAUUGGGUUCAUUCAUAGCAUUCAUGAGUUCAAGUAUAACGUUUGGGUUUUUAUAAAUGCUGGUUUUAGAGUAACUUUUUAUCAUGGAAAAUGGUUGUAUAUGCUUGAAGCUAGAGAAGAGAACAGGGGUGAAAGGAGUAUCAAAGGUGAAGAGAAGUUAGUGGAUUGAAGUUUGGUGUUGAACCUAGUGUCUUGGGAAGCUUAUUAAGGUUAGUGUUCUCUUGAAUUUUAGCAUGCUUGUGCGAAAUAAAAUUUAAGUAUUUACCGGGCAUGAUUGUAAAUGUAAAUAAUAUGGAAAAGAAUGGCUUGCGAUGGUUUGUUCAUCAUUUAGAAAGAUUAGCAAAUGAAUUUGACUAGGCAAGUCAUAACCGAAUUAGUAAUAUGGUAUGGUUUAUUUUUGCUAAAUGAACAUGGCAAGACAAUAUAGAAUAAUUUGAGAACCAUGUUGUAUGCUACUUCAUAAGUUACAAAAGAGUAUAGUUAAGGAGUUUAAUUUGUCAUUAUUUAAAGUAUUACAGAUAAAAAGAUAUUUCAAUUUAUAUCUUAGAAAGAAAUCCAUUAAUCCAUUAAUGCAUGGGAUCCUUAGUUUUGAUUCUAAAUUUUUAUUUUUAUUAAUAUAAAUAAUUAUUAUUCAAAGAUAUACAAUUAUUUAUUUUUAUUUAUUUAUUAAUAUACUUCUAUUCAUGUAAUAUAAAACAAUUAAGGUAUUUUAUAAUAUGAUACUUGUUUACUUAUAAAUUUUAAUAGUUUCAAUUAUAAAAACCAACACAGUCUAAUUAAAUAUUAUCAGAUUUUAGAUCUCUUUUUUUUUUUUGCUUUAACGUAUUUCAAUAUUUAUUAAUUUUAAAAUGAUUUACUUAUAUUAGUGUAAAACUCUAAUUUUACAUAUUUUAUCACUUUUUUUGUAAGGUUAAUAUUUUUACAAUCCAACCAUUAAAAUUAUUAAUAUAAUUUCAUUUAUCAUGUAAGGUUUGUAUGCUGGUAUUAUAUUUUGUCUCAAUUCAUAGGAUACUCUUGUAUACGUGGUUGUAUACUUAAUGAAAUUGCAUUGCUUGGUUGUCAACUACACAAUGACCUUGAAUCUCUUAUUAGGGUUUGGGAUUACUUUUAUAUUAAGGGUAGAUAAUUGGAAUUUUAAAUAAAAUUUAUAAAUUUAUAUUAUUUAUUAAAAAACACAAAUUUAUAAAUUAAAAGAGUAUAAUUAAAGGGUUCAAAUUUAAAGUUAAAAUUUAAAAAUGAUAAUCAUAACUUACACAACUUACAUAAUUUACAUUGACAAAUAAUAAUAUUUUCUCAUAACAUUUAUAAUUAAUCAACUUACUUUCGAUUCAAUAGGUUUGGAGUGGAAAGGAUGUCAAUGACAAAGUUAAAUAGCUUUCCCAAGGGUCCAAAUAGAGUAGUAAAAAGAUAUAGUGUCUUCAUCAUCAAUGGAUUCAGGUUUCAUACAAAAUCUCGCAAAAGAUUGAGGAGGACUCGAAAUUGUGGAAUAGUUGUUAAUUCUUCAAUUACAAGUUAUGCUAGUGCUAGGACUGUAAUCCUGUUAAGGGAAAUGUGGAGUAUUACGGACUUCCUACUGACAUUAUUGAGUUGGAUUACUAUGGCAAAUGGAAGGUUGUCUUAUUUCGAAUUGAUUAGGCUGAUGUUAAUACUGCUCGCGGAAUUAAAAAAGAUCAAUUUGGUUUUACAAUAAUGAACUACUCUCGAUUAAUUCACACUGGACAACAAUUGAUAAACGAGCCGUAUGUAUUUUCUUCCCGAUUGAAACAAGUUUUUUACUCAAAAGAUCCAACUGAUGAGGGUUGGUACGGUCCCUAGAGAGUUGUUUGACAUGGGCAAUGGAAGUAGAGAUGACAUCAAUGAAAGAUCAGAAACUUUGUCUUUUCUAGAACAAAACUUAAAUGAAACUAUCCCUAGUAUUAGUACACAAUUUCAAUGGGUUCGCCAUGAUGUGGAUGAAGAUGUUUACGAAUUAUGAUGUAGUAAGAUUUUACGAUUUUUUAAUUAUAUGUAAUAUUAUAAUUUAAAUCUUGAUCUUGUUAAAUAUUUCAUCUAUUUUAUAUGUACUAUUAUUGUUGUAAUUAGUUACUAAAAUUUCAAUUAUUUUAUGUGUAUUGCAGAUAAAAAGCCUAAAAGAAGAUUGUGAGAUCUAUGUAUUGUUCAGAAUCCCCCAAAUUGGGAAGAAACAAAUAGUGAAAAACAAACUGCUAUUGGAUCUUCGAAUGUUUCGAAUACAGCUGACGAACCUACAGAAAUUCAAAGUAAUGUUAACUUUAAUUUACAUGCGUGUUGACUUUUAUUAUUGAUUUCUGUUUCAAAUUCUUAUAUUAUAAUAUACCAUUUUUUUCAACUAAAAGUGGUGGGACACGCAAAACUCGAGGACGUACACUACUAAAAGAUUUAUACGAGUUAAAUUCUGUCGAGCGUGUCAAAGUAGAUAGAAACAGUCUUGGUCAGCCUAUUGGAUCUGUAACACACCAAAAUUUUAAUUUUGGGUAUUGUGAAUGUGUGACACAAAUAUCUAUCAGCUUUAAUGGUUAAGUGCUUUGGGUGUGUGUGGGAGGUCCUAAGUUCAAGCCAUGACUUGGGCAAAUUUUAGUAUUUUUAUAAAUAAAGCCUUAACCUAGCCUAAAGGGCUUAAGUUUAAUAGUCGGUAAUAAAUAACAGAAUGGUCUUGCCGGUUUUGUGGUUAAGUGGAGUGUUUGAUUGAAUGAGGUCUUGAGUUUGAAUCCAUGUUGGAGCGUAGGCAUUAUUUUUGCGCAGUGAUGGACGAGUAUUUCGGCAUAGUGGGAUUCUGGAGUGGUUGUAGGUUAGUAGGAUUAGUGGAGGAAAUUAAGGGAUAAUGGGAGUAGUGGUGAGAUAAUUAAGGGAUUUUGGGAUUCUAUCAAACUCUUUUAGUUAAUUUCGGUUCAUCCAAAAUUCUAUUCUCUCUUCCCCAAAAUUUUUUCCAUCGUUCUGACAUUUAUUCACCCAUUUUCUACCGAAUUUCCAUUGUUUCCUCCCUCUUUUCUUUUGAUUUCUUUUAUGCCUCCAUCGUAAUCGAUGAUUGAAAUCACUCGAUUUGGUAAAUAUUCGUUUCGCCACUUUCUCUUGUUCCGUGGUUGGUUUUAUGAAAAAGGGUUGUUUUGGUUCUUUCGAAUUAGGUGAAAAUCAAGUAGCGGUAGGUGCUUGUGUAGAGAUUUGACGUUUGGGUUUUCAGUUUGUUGCCAGUCUUGGAGUGCUUGGGAGCAUAUUUACAAUGAAACGAUACUAGGUGUGUACCCGGAACACAAAAAUAAGGGAUUUGGUGAAAAGCCGAAAUUGCUUGCUAUUUAGACACCAGCAGUAGGCUAAAUUUGAUAAAUCACCAUAACUUGUGAAAAUUUAAUUAGAGGAUGAAAAAAUAUAGGACUAAAUAUAUUUGAGUGUAGUUUCUCAUGGAAGAAACUAAGUAAGAAAAAGACUUUCAUAUUAUGAGAUAUUUGAAUUUUAGUGAGACAGGGUCAGAAUGCUUUUAGAAUCCCCUGUCCGGAUUUUUGAAAAUUAUUAAAAACUUUAUAAAAAUAAUUGUGGGUUAGAAUUUAUAUGUUUAAAAUCCAGAAUUCUAUACGAAUUCUAUACGAGAAGAUCAUCUGAAUUCUAUACGAGAAGAUAAUUAAUUUUUAGUACAAAAUGAUUGAAACUGUCAGACAGCAGAACAGGGGAAAAUUUAAAGAAUAAAAUGUACUUAUUUGCUAAAACCAAAAAUUCUGAAAAUUUUAUGGUGAGAAGAUAUGUGAGUCUAUUUUUAGGGAAAUUUUUUGGAUCUUAAUUCAGAAUUCUGUAGCUUAAGAUACAAAUAAUUUAGUAAUAAUGACUCAAGUAGACAGCUUUGAAGGAUAAUAUAAGUAAAUAGUGGAAACACAUAUGAAUAAUUAACUAGCACGGGUUACAUUAAAAUGGAUCAUGAGGCCAAGGCCAAUUUGGGUCAUGUGGGCCACACGAGUGUGUGGGCCCACACGGGCUAACAUCAUGGACUUGUAGGCUCAUUUUCACUGUUUGACUGAUAAGGUUGCACGAGUUGCCCAAGUCGACUGUGAACCUAUUGUAGGGUCGAUAAGCUCACUUAGACCCCUAAUUGACUGAAAUGAUUGUAUGACUGAUAUGAUUAAGCCUGAUGAUGUCCCACUGAUUUGAUACUAUAUGCCCUAUUUACAUGCGUGAUAUUAUGUUAUAGCAUGUCAUAUAUGUAUAUUGCAUUGCAUUUGGUUAGGGGAUUAUAAUGUUUGGAGGAAGUGUACUGAAAGGCCUCGAGCCUAACUUACUAGUAGCUCAACUGCAAACUACUGUCUAGUGUUGUAUUCGGUACUACUUGGAGUGUAGGGAUGGGUGGGUUGAUUAUAUCCCUACAUGCAGUGUAGGGUUGGACGGGGAUUGUGUGUAGAGGCUGGAUGGGUAGGAUUUUUGUGACUGUAUAUCUAUUACGCUACUGAUACUGUGAUGGGCUAAAGCCCUACUUCAUGACUGUUUUUGUAUUGGGAUGGGAUAAGGCCCAAACUGGACUAAUAUUGAUACUGAAAAGGGCUUAAGCCCAGACUGUGACUAUCUGUUUCCUAUCUGUACAUUUGUAUGGGGAUUACACACUGAGUUUACGUAAACUCACCCCUUCUGUUUAAUCUGUUCAGGUAACCCCCAGAUAUAGGCGGAUUGGUGAGGCGAAGGACUCAGUGGUGGCCACACAACUUCAUUUACACUGUUUAUUACCUAUUUAUGAUUUUACUUUUAUUUGGGAGUAUUUUGCUAUAAUUAUGGCCUUUACGAAUUUUAGUUUAAAUUUGGUUUUUAUAUGGUUUUAUGAUUUAAAUCUGCUAGUUUUAGGUAAAACUCAAGUUUUCAAAUGAAAUUAAUAUUUUAUCAAAAAUACCACGAAUGCGCAAACUAUUUAAAAGCUUCUGCAAUAAAAAAACGUUUUGAAAUUGAAUUACAAUUUGUAAAUGAAUAAUGUUUUGGAAACGAACAACAUGAUUUGAAAUUAACAUAAGGUAAUGAAAAAAAUGGUUAAAUAGAAAAGAGAAUUUAGCGACAACAUAUUUUUCGAAAAGCACUACCCUGUGACAUUGUCAAAUUUGGCCAUAACGUCUAGGCGGGGUUUGGGGUGUUACAAGAUCAGAAGCUCGACUUUUAACUGGAUACUUAGGCAUUGUAGCACAAAAUGCCAAUCUGUUUCCUAUCACUACGAGUAAGGGCAUCAUAUGCCUGAUACUAACAAAAAUAAGCUAUCGAUUAUAUUAAGGUAAUAACGUGAAUGUAAUUUAUAAUACUUUGGUUUAAGUUUCAUUUAUAUUUACUUUCUAAAUUUGUAUUUUUUGCAGGAGAGAUUUGCUUUAGAGGUCUCGGAUAAUUAUGUGAAGAAGGCAUUAGGAAAAAAAUGGAGAGACCAUAAAAGUUCUUUAAAGAAGGAAUAUUUUAAGAAAAAUAUAUGUCUUGAAGAGAAAUUGCGAAAUGUCCCGCCAGGAAUGUUGAGGUACCAAUGGGAAGAUGCAGUUAGAUUUUGGAAUUCAAAGAAAGGAGAGGUAUUGCGUACUUCCAAACUCUUAUAAUUAUUUUGGUUUAUAGUAUUUACUAUAUACGUAAUAAUAAUUUCAUAAUGUAGGAUCGUGAGCGAGUUGGAACUACAAGUAGGCAAAAACAAAAAUUCACGCACACAGCUAGGUCGAAAAGUUUUGCUUGCGUAGCUGAGACCGAGGUAUUUUGAAUUUAUUAAUUGUGUCAAAUAUUAAUUACUUUCUACUAAAUAAUAUUUUUACUACUAUACUGUAGGAACUGUCAUCUGGUCAAAAAGUUGGACGCCUUCAGCUUUUUGACAUUACACAUAGAAAGAAAGAUGGAUCUCCUAUGACUACUGAAACUGCAGAAAUUAUGGUAUAUUUACUUAUUAAAAUUUAAAUUAGUUUAAAUAUUUAUCAUGUUUAAUUAUAAUGGUUUAAUUCGUCGUUUUUAAUGUAAAUAAUGUUAAGUUAUGUUACAUUUGUUUUUAUUAUAUAUUUCAUUUCUAACUAUUUGAUUGAUUUAUUAGGAGAAACUAAAGGAUAAAAAGGCGAAGUAUGAAGCGAUCGCUUCGAGUGAUAGUUCUGUUAAUCUUGACGACAUUGAUAACCAAAUUAUUACUGAAGUUUUGGGCCCUGAAAUGUAACACCCCUAACCCGUAUCUAUCGCCAGAAUAGGGUUAUAGAGCAUUACCAGAGUUUACUAAUUAAUUUUUAGACUUUUCUUUUCAUCAAGCAUUCAUAUUUAUAACCAAUCAAAAUUAAAAUAUUAAUGAGCUAACGUUAACCGAUUUCACUUGUACAUGCCAUUAUAACCAAAAUCAAAUCAUCCAAAAUUAUCGAUAGAACCAAUGGAUAAUGUGAUAUAUCUCCAACAAGCUUCCAACUCAAUCGAGCUUCUAAUAAUCAUUUCAAUGCAUCAAAUAAUUAUACAUAUUACCAAUAAUAAUUCAAUUCCAAUAAUAAAACACACAUACAUAUAUAUAAUAUUCAUUACCAAAUAGCAUUCACUUCAAUUAAAAUUAUACAGAAUAUAGUUCAUACGAACUUACCAGGCUAAAUUGCAGAAAUACCAAAAUUCAGGGACAUUUUGGAAAUUUUCUACUUUUCUCAAAUUUCCACCCAAUCUUGAUCUAAAUUAAUAUUUCAUUCAAUUUAAUAAUUUAAAUAAUAAAACAAUUCAUUUCAUACAAUUUGGUCACUUUUUGACAUUUUUACAAAUUUACCCUUAAAGUUUUACUUUUAUUCAAUUUAGUCUCUGAGCCUAAAACGUGCAAAUUAUCCAUGCUAGCUGAAUAUUCAUAUAUAUAUUUUCCUCCUUCUCCUCUCCAUUCCACAUCCUUAAUUUAUAUAAUAUGCUUAUAUGUAACAUUAUCUAUGAUUUUACUAUUUACUUGUAAAUUUAUUCAAAACUGUCCAUUUGAGUCAUAACCAUUAAAUUAUUUUUAUCUUGAGCUACAUAACUCCAAAUUAGGAUCCGCUAAUUUUUCCUGAAACUAGACUCACAUAUCUUCUUACUAUAAAUUUUUUAGAAUUUUUGAUUUAUCCAAUAAGUACAUUUUAUUCUUUAAAGUCACCUCUAUUCUGCUGUCUGACAGUUCCGACCCUUCUUCACUAAAACUUAAUUAUCUCCUUGUAAAGAAUUCGGAUGAUAUCCUCAUUUGUUUCUAUUGAAAAUAUACUCUUUAAGGAUUUUAAACAUAUAAAUUAUAACCCAUAAUUAUUUUUGUACAAUUCUUUUAUGAUUUUCCAAAGUCAGAAUAGGGGAACCCGAAAUCAUUCUGACCUUGUCUCAGAAAAUCUAUUAUAUCUCAUGAUUUACAAUUCCAUUACUUACACUGUUUCUUCUAUGAGAAACUAGACUCAGUGCUUUAAUUCCAUAUUUUGUUCAUCCUCUAAUUUCGUUUCCACAAUUUAUGGUGAUUUUUCAAAGUUAACCUACUGCUGCUGUCCAAAACUGUUUUAGUGCAAAAUGUUAAUUACUAAGUUUAUAACUUCCUUAUUCCCUUUCUCUAUAAUAUUUCUCAUCACUUUCACUUAUUUCUCUUCACUAAUAUAUCAAUAACAUAAGAAUUUAUAUAAUAAAACUCUACUAUAACAUCUUUUCUAUGCUAUUUCAAUAAUAUCAAACUUAAAAAUAUAUUGAAAUCUCAAUGUUCUUACCUUGUCCUAUUGAUUUCAACCUUUAACUUGAUUUUCUCUCUCCUCCAGCUUUAAUUUCUUGAACCCAACUUGAUAUUCUAGCUCCCCAUAGUCUCUUUGUUAGUCUCUUUGUUAUCUUUCUCUCUUGAUGGCUAUGGAAAUUCUUUUGAUUUCUAAGUGAAAAUGGUGAAUUUUUUUGGUGGAAGGACCAAAUUGUAAAGAAAGAAAAAUUUUCUUUCUUCUCUUCUCUUCUAACGUGAAUUGCAUGGAAAAGAUGGUGGGUUGGUUCCUUUUCAUCUUUCUUUCCACUUAUAUAUACUAAAUAAUAAAAUAAUAAAAUAUCAUUUAAAAAAUCAAAUUAAAAUAUUAAUAAACUAUUAUUUAUUUAUUUAAUCUAAAAUAUCUCCAACAUCAUCAUUAUCUUCUAGAUUUCUGUCUCUUCUAAAUGACCAUUUUGCCCUUUAUGAUCUUUUCAAAUUCCAUCAUUGAGUCAUGACUUAAUUUGGUAAAAUUAUGAUAUAGUCCCUAGAUUAUUCCAACCUUAAAAUAUUUGCACUUUAACCCCUCAAAUUUUGAGUAUUUACUCUUGGGCAACAAAACUUUUCUCACUUUUGCGAUUUAAUCCUUUCUUGAAUUAAUAUGUCAUAAUUUACUUCUUAAUGUUGACAUAAGUCAAAAUUACCCUUUUUAUCACUUUAUUUCGUUAUUUUACUUUAUUAGGAAUAUUAUCUUAUUUUCUUACUGUAGUAAUUUUCAGGGUAUUACAUGAAAGGUAUGGUUGGGUUCAAUUUCAAGGAUCUUUUGUUAACCUAGCCCAAUAUUUUGGAUCCAGCUUGCAGCAAUACAUGCCUUCGGGGAGUCAGGCUCAAGCUGAAGUUCAGAGGUUAAUAGACCAGAUGACUUAGAUGAAAGCGAGCACAUUUGAGCAAAUUGCUCAACUUAAAGCGGAAGCAGCAUCGAGAGAAGUAGAGGCUCAAAGAAAAUAUGAAGAACUCCAGCUACAGCUUAAAGCAGAGGAAACAGCGAGGGAAGCAGAGCAAAGCAGAAAAUAUGAUGCACUCCAGUUAUAGCUUCAGAAUAUGAUGAAGAUGUUUCAGCAGUCGCAUAAUCCGCCAUCUUAGACAUUUGUUUUCUUAUUGUACGAAUAUUUUAACAUUAUAAAUUUUGAAAAUAAUAAUUUUUUUCAUUUCAUUUAUUAAUUUAGAUCAUUUAUCUUUUCAUUGGGAUUUGAAGUAUCAUUUAGAUUUGCAGUUUGGUUGGAUUUGAUGUUAUAGUAAAUUAUGUUGACAAUUCGGGUUCUAUAUAAAUGAAAAUGGGAUGUUAAAAAUCUGCUAAAGUUAGCGGUGUUUUCUCCACAAAUGCCGCUAAAGAACAUGACCUUUAACGGUGUUUUUUAGUAAAAUCGCCGCUAAAGGUCAUGUUCUUUAGUGGUGUUUUUGGGGAAGCGCCGCUAAAAGUCAUGUUCUAUAGCGGCGUUUGUGGGAAAGCGCCGCUAAAGGUCAUGUUCUAUAACGGCAUUUUUCCACAUAAACGCCGCAAAAUUUAGCGGCGUUGUCUAUAGCAGCGUAUUUUGUGGCGCAUGUAAAAAUGCUGCAAGUAGUUUAUAAGCACCGCUAUAGACCCAAAAAAAUGUCGCUAAAAACCUAUUUUGUUGUAGUGAUUCCAAGAAACUUUAAUAAAAUUGAUUGCAUCCAAUACAUUAAUCUUUUCAGGAUCUAUUUCUCCUUUCUCGGAACCUUCCAAGAAGCUAGAAUAAAAGCGACGUCGAUAAUAAAUCUUAACUGCUCUAAUACUUUUAGCAUCACAUGAUUGAAUUUUUUAAAAUGAAUUUGGAGGAAAAAAGAAUAAUUCAACGUUUCUCAAGCCUUCAAUAACCUUGGGAUGGGCUGGGCAAUUGUCUACUGUAAGCAACAUAUUUCUACUAGUCAUUCUAGCAUCAAACUAGCGAACAAGAUCUUGAAAAAUUAAUCCAGUCAUCCAUUUUUUUAUUGGCUCGAUAAUGACAGUUAAGAUUGUCAAUAUUCACAUGUUUAAAACAUCUAGGAUUAGCAAACUUAACAAUAACCCAAAAAGACACUUUAUUUGAACCAUCCCCAUUGCAACCACAGCAGUAAGUCUUUCCUAGUCUUUUUUUAGUCCUUCUAAUUGCUUUGUAGCCAGUGAAUGAUCUGCUUGCAAACGAUAAAAUAAGCCUAUUUCAUCCAUAUUAUAGAUAUCCUUCCAAUCAAUUUUUUUUUUAAUUUAGCUCAUAUUUCAGGUAAAGCAUCUUUAAUAUUCUCCUUAAUAACUUGACCACUUUCACCAAAUCUUCAAUAAGACUUAAUCUCAUGUCUUGCCUUGAACCGUUCUAGCCAACCGAUUGAGAAGUAAAAUUUGGAAUUUGCAUCACCUUACAUUUUCUAUAGAAACUCUUUUGCUUUAGUUUGAAUCAUUUCUCCAGUCAUGUUUACUUUCUCUUGAUAUUGGAGAAACCACUCAUACAAUACCUUCUCUAAUUCAGGAUAUUUGGUUGAUUUGUGCAUUUUAACAUUGCUAUUCUUUCUCUUUCGACAAAUAUUCAGAUGACUUUUUAAAAGUAUUAGAUAUUGUUGAUUGGCUAACAGAGAGAUCAAAUGUUUGCUGAACUCACUGUUGCAAAUAUUUUUGACUUGAAGAGGGAUGUUCAUUUUUGUACUCACAUAAUGCUUUUCUCAUCUCAUCUGUCAAUGUAGACUUUUUUACACCUUUCAAAUGGGAAGCCAUGGAAGAAAAGAUUAUAUGAAUUACAUUAUUUUGAUACGUACAUGUGUUUAUUUAUAAUAAAAUUUGUAAUCUAUCCAGUGAAUAUAUACGUAUUGGAUUUUGAAACCAUUAACUAUUUUUUCUUUUUGUUUACAUGAACCAAUUAAUUAACUCUUUUUUUUGUUAUAAUUAACUUUGAUUUAUUGCACCUAAAUGCAUAUUGGAUUUUGAUUAAAAAAAAUACUCAUGCAUAAAGUAUGAAAUAUUCUCUAAAAUAAUAAAUGUUAAUUUAUCGAUAAAUUAAUAAAAUAUUUAUUUAUUGAUAAACUAAUAAUCUCAAUAAAAUAAUAAUUUUUUCAGGUCUCAAGGAUAUUAUUUUAUAGAAGUUUUACCGUAUGUGUUUUGGGUUAGCAAAACUGUGAAUAAGUGUUUUUUUUUUUGUUUUUUUUAAACUGAAUUUAUAUUCCAAAUCCAAAAGAAAUAUCAUCUGAUGCAUUGUAAUCAUAGUGUAGGCUUCUUCUUCUUUUUUCAUAUAUGUGAGUUAAAAAAUUUAUUUUGCAGAGUGUAUGGUUGUAUAAUUAUUUAGCAAACUAGGCAAAAUCAGCAGGUGAAGUGUCCGACUUCAAAAACCGACGCCCCUAGAGUCCGACUUCAGUGAAGCAAGCAGGAACAACUUGAAAGUUGUAUCCUGCAGAAAUCAUCUUCCACUUUGGGCAAAGAAAGAUGAAAUGCUCAAAUAUAAAAUGGAGUAAUAUCAUGAUAUUCCCUGAAUGUUUAUCAAAAUUUUUAUAGUCUAUCCAGUUUAAAAUUUAUCAAAAUUUCGAUAUGAUCUCUCCACUUGCAAAUUAUAUUUUAAAAUAGUAUGUUAUUUUCUAAAUUAAAAAAAUAAAAAAUUAAAUUAAAAAAUAUUAUAGGAAUUAAAAAAUAUGAAAAAUAUUACAAUUACUUUUAAAAUAUGGGAAUUUAUAAUUUACUAGUUAAAGAAAUUAUAGUAACAAUCUUAAAUUAAAACUUAUAUGUUGCUUUUAAACUUAAAAAGUAGUUUUAAUAUUGGUAUAUUUUUACGAAUAAUAAAAAUUACAAAAUUAUAAUUCAACUCCCAAAUUUUUAAUAUUUUAAAAGAUAGUAGUAUAUUAUUUCUUAAAAAAUGAAUAAUCACUUGCUAGAAAAAUUUGAAGAUGAAUAAAGCAAUAAACUUUAAUAUUUUGAAAUACCUAUUUAUUAAUAUUGAAAAAUAACAUCCUAUUUUUAAAUAUAAUUUUAAAGUGGUGGAUUAUAUUGAAAAUUGUAUAUACAUUCACAGGCCAUUUAUGAUGUAAUGUGAACUGUCAUCAUUUUCUAAGGGCGGCAUCUCAUUUGAAAGUGAUUCUUCAAUCUAAAAAUGGAAUAAAAUCAUAAAUGACCCUUGAAUGUAUAUCAGAUUUUUAAUAUAGUCCAUCCAAUUUAAAAUUAUAAUUCUGUAAUUUUUAUUAUUAGUAAAAAAUUACCGAUACUAAAACUACUUUGUAAGUUUAAAGUAACAUAUAGGUUUCAGUUUAAAAUUGUAACUAUAAUUUCUUUAACUACUAAAAUUUAAAUUCCGAUAGUUUAAAAGUAAUUGUAUUUCAAUAUUUUAUUUUUUUUAAUUCUUAUAAUAAUUUGAAUUUAAAUUUUUAGUUUUUUUAAUUUAGAAAAUAACAUACUAUUUUAAAAUAUAAUUUGUAAGCGGAGAGACCAUAUCAAAUUUUGAUAAAUUUUAAAUAAACAAAAAAAUCAUUAUUUUUUAAAUAAAAAAUCAUUAUUUUUUGUCACAAUUUUAAAUUAUUAUUGUGAAUUUUACUACUAAUGUUUUUCUCUAAUUUCAACAAAAAUAUAGUGUAUAAUAUUUAUAAUAGAUCAUCUGUAAUUCUGAGUGACUUUUAGAUUAAAUAGAGUUAAAAUAUUUUUUUAUAUUAAACUCUUUUUAGUUUAUAAGAUUAAAAAUAGAUAAAAUAAUAUUUUUAUAUUUUUUAUUCUAUUUUAAAUGAAUUAAUUAAUUUUAUUUAUUUAUUGCUUAUUUUUUUCUUAUGAAAUAUUUUUGUUUAUUUAUUGUUUUUGUUAAUUGCCUUUAUUUUCUUACCGUUAUCAAAUAAAAAGAUAGAAACUAAAUAAUAAAGAAAAUGGGAGAGUAAAGAGAAAAUAUGUUUUAUUGAUCAAUUGGAAUUUUUACAAUGCUUCUCCAAAGUCUCUAUUAAUAGGCAUAAGAAGUAUAAAUGAAGUAGAGAUCUAAUUUUAAUGACUACUAGAAUUUAAAGUACAUCAAAGCUUAUCUUGAUCUUGAUGGACAUCCACUUAAUAAUAUAUUCAUAACACUCCCUCUUAUUAUGUCCAUUGGUUGAUAAUGUGUCUCGUUAAAACCUUACUAAGAUAAAAACUUUGUAGGAAACAAAUUCCCGGUGAAGGAAAAAGAGUACACAUAUCUAUAAUACGCAUAAUAAUGCUGCCUCAUUAAAAAACUUACCAGGAAAACCUAAUGGGACAAAACCUCGGUUAAGGGAAAAGUAGUGCAGCGUGUACUUACUCCCCCUCAUGAAAACAUCACAUACUUUCUCAUAUUCUACGUAUUCAAUCUUGAAUACUAGUUUUUCAAAUGGCUAUUUGAAUGUAUUUGCUAAGCAUUUAUAUCACCAUUCUUUUGAAAGUCAUGAGUGAGGGAAAAUUUGGGGGAAAUACAUUUUGAUCUCUUUAGGAGUUUCAACAAUAAUCAUAGCAAAAUUUAAUCAUGAUUGUUCUAUAAAAGUACAAAUAAGUAUUUUUGAUCAUUUUAUAAUCCUUAUUCAACUACUAUUCAGUAUGUCAAAUUUACCACAUAUGUCCAAAUUAUUUCAAUUCAGAUAAAUGAACAAUUUCCCUAGAAUUUCAAUAUGCUUCUGCCAUACUAAAUCCUUCAAGGAUUUUAAUAUAACCUUUACUAUAUAGUGAUUCAUAAAAAGUUGUAACAACAACCAUUAGACGAAAGUUAAAUAUUUUAUGAACUGUCAGUUUAAUAAUAUAUCUAAAGGUUAUUGCAUCCACCACAAAAAAAAAUCUUAUAUCCUUUCAUAAUCAAUAUCAAGGCUUAGCGAAAAACUUAAUAUUUUUAUUCCGCUUUUGCAAAACUACUUCAUUUGUACCCUCACUAGCUUUAUACCUUUAAGUAUUUAGACUACCGAUAAAAAAAAACCCCACAAAUUUAAUUGUACUUGAGUUGUGUCUUUCUAUUUUGAAAAAUCUAUUCCAUAUCUAUAUUUCUUAAUAGCUUUUUUUCAAGAUUCUCUUUUUAUUUCAUGAUUUCAACAAUAAUAUUGCAUGCAAAACCAUUAUUGACCACUUUUAUUAUUGGUUCAACAUUUUCUUAAAUUGACAUAACUUAUCAAAAUCUCUAAUUUUCACUAUUUUAAUCUUCAGUUUCAGGUACCUGAAUCUCUUUUGGAAGUUUACUUAUUAGUUAUGUCUUGGGUCUCUUCUGGAGCACCCAUAUUCACUAUAUGACCAUGUAGAUUUAUCAUUUUCUUUUAUAAGAAUUUUUAUAUUUAAAACUUGUAAUGAGUUAUCCUUGUCGAACUUCUGGUUCAAAUUACUCUCUCCCUAACUCAUUACGAGUUAUUAUCUAUCUUCCCCUAAUGUCAGGAAAACUAUCGAAUCAAAAUAGUAAUCACAAAUCAUUUAAUAAUUGAAUCUUCAAUACAUUCAAAACAUCUAAUAAUACAAUAAGACUUGUAAUUAAUAUAUAUUCCCAACUUUCUUUGAGGAUUCACUCAUAUUUGUGCGUUGUGAUGGAGCAAUUAGAACAUAUAUGCAUAUACAAAAAUUCAAAGAUGAGAAAUAUUUAGCUCUUGACUAAAAAACCAAUUGUAAUGGGGAAUAUUUAUAACUUAUUGGCUUGACACGUACAACACAUAAAUCAACACAAUCUCAUGUUGAAAUAGGAAGUUUAGUUCUCAUAAGUAAUGGUUUAAAUAUUAAUCAAAUGCGUUCAAUCAAUAAUUUUUCUAAAGUUUUAUGCGCAAAAAUAACAAGCUUAACACCCCAAACCCGGCCUAGACGUUAUGGCCCUAUCUGGUGCGUCACAUCAAAGUGUCUCUCAAAAAUUUGGCUUGUUGACAAACUUGUUUCUUAUUUUUGGAAACCUCUUUUUAAUAUCUAACGGGGCAUUUAUUCAUAUGCUUACCUUGUUAACUGCUUCUUGUUGUAUUAAGUUGAUUUAAAACGCGGAAGCAUUUUGAAAACUCUAACAUUUAAAGCUCGUGUCUUUGAAAAUAGUAAUCAUUUUGAAAAUCCAUUUUCAAAUAACUAGUAUAAAAUAUGAAAGUAAAAACCCAAUUAAAAUUUAAAACCAAAUAAAAUGUCUUAUUACAAAACAAAACCCAACUUAUUAAUUAAAAUAAAAAUAAAAGAUAAAGUGAACAGCAGUGAUUGGGUGGCCACCUCCGAGUCCCUCGCUGCACCAAACCGCCUAUGGCUGAGGAUUACCUACACAAUUAGAAGAAAGGGUGAGUUUACAAAAACUCAGUGUGUAAUCCUCUACCAAACAAUUAGCAUACAACAUGCAGAAUCAGUUUGGGCUUGAGCCCUAUAUAGUAGUAGUGUGUAGGCCAUAACCCAAUACAGUAACAGAGUGUGGCCCUUAGCCCAAUACAGUAACAGUGCAAAUGCAGUAAUACAACCCAUCCCAAUCCAGCCAACACACCACUCCGUACCACCAACACACCAUGUGGGGAUAAAAUUGACCCACCCAGCCAACACACCAGUAUCGCAGCAGAGCUGCCAGUAAUAGUAACGCAGCAAAGCUACCAGUACAGUAAUGCAGUAGAGUUACCAGUAUCAGUAACACAACAAAGCUGCUAGUAACACUAUUUAUAGUAAAUCCACCAGUACAGUAUACUUCCCCUAUAUAAAAAUCUCAACCCUAUGCAGUAUGUCGUGUCAUAGAUCAUACGUGUAUGUAAUAUGUCAUACUCAGUAACAGUCAUAUAAAUAUCACAAAGCAAAAUGGUCAGACAUAGCAUAAGGCCAUAACAGUCAUUUCAUCUCUUAGGGGUAUAACGAUCAUUUUACCCUAUAGGGGUAUUCUGGUAACUUUACCCAUCGAGGGUAUUUCAGUAAUUUUACCCUUCGAGGGUAUUUCAGUUAUUUUACCCUUCGAGGGUAUUUCGGUUAUUUUACCUAUCGAGGGUAUUUCAAUAAUUUUACCCAUCGAGGGUAUUUCGAUAAUUUUACCCAUCGAGGGUAUUUCGGUAUCUUUACCCAUCGAAGGUAUUUCGGUAUCUUUACCCAUCGAGGGUAUUUCGAUAAUUUUACCCAUCGGGGGUAUUUUGGUCAUUUUACCCAUUAAGGGUAUUUUAGUCAUUUGCCCACGAAUCGCACGUAGGGCUCACGACUCGAGCGAUCGCAUGCCCAUGUAGUCUCAAACGCCGUGUUCAUGGCUUUUCGACUUUUACCGAUUUGCAGUUGAGUGAGGGUGUGAUUACACACCUUUUCAUGAAAGCUAGCGAAAUACCUCUUGGCACCAACCUACGUUGAUUUGAAUAUUCGGUCAGCCCUUCAAUAACCAAUAUUUUCAAGUACUUAAACCACACUUAAACAAUCAUCACCUACUACAAUUAUAAGAAAUAUGGCUUGCUCUUCUAAGAUUCUUAGCCAAGACACGAUCCUUUCAACCAUCUCAAAAUCGAACAAAUAAUUCGGCACCUUCCUUUCAACCCUCUCAAAAUCGAACAAAUAAUUGCCUUGUGCCGAAAAUGCUCCAUUCCUUUCCCCUUAGCCGAAUUUCACUAAGCCUUAGAGUCCCAAUCGGCCAUAACACCCUACCAACCUCUCAGUUACACAACACGCCACCUUGCCACUAGAUUACAAGCUAUUUUUGGGUCAUAAAAUAGACACUAAUAUUUAUAAGGCCUAAACGCCACUGUCCAGAUUCAAUUAAGAGCAAAACCAAAAAUUUUGCAGAAGCCAAGACUUGAACCCCUGACGUCUAAGACACUUCCUAACACUCCUAAAUCACUUAACCACUGAAGCAGACAUUCAUUUAUGUCACUUUCUUACACAACUAAAUAUUUAUGUGCAGUCUUCUAACUGUUCCCUUGUUCAAAACCUAUUUCUUCUAGGCCCAAAAUUUGAGGUGUUACAUGUGUUUUAGCCCUGGCAGCUUCAAAGUUCUGUGUUGCGACAUGGGCCUUCUUGUGUCGCACACAGUUGUUGUCUCUUGUGCUCCUUGCCCUGAAAUAGCACCAUACACACUCAAAUGGCCUACUAGUUAUUCCCGAGGCCUAGUUGGCCUAAUGGGUCGUCAAAACACUAAAAACAUGCUUAAAAUGCUUAUUUUGCAAUAAUUUGAAUAUAAGCUACGAAAUAGGAAAAUGCAAUAAAAGAAUAUAAAAUACUUAGGAAAUAAGCGUUAAUUUCCAAAUAUUACUUAAUUUUCCACUGCAAUUUGUGGCAAAUCAAUAUUUUAUGAACUCACUAAACAAUGUUACAAAGACCCUUUAAAUAGGAUAAUUUUGGAGUGUUAAUAUGACUAAAAUGUCUUAGAUUAGUCUGAGUUUAAUUGGGGAAAGAUACUAGAUUUUUACUAGGAGAAAAGACCUGAUUCAUGUGCGAACACGAAGCCACGUCAUGACGUCGUUUAUUGGCUCAUCGUACUUCGGAUCCAAACUCUUGUUGAUUUUCAAGAUUUAAUUCCAAAAAAUUUUUGUCGAUGAUACAUUGGUCGUACGAAUCAAAAUUGGAGACAUCAUGUACGACCUCUUCCAAUGGAGUACCCACUUGGGAUUUUUUUCAGAAAAACUCCUCUAAUUGAUCCAACCAUUGUAGGAUUCUCUUUGAUUUGGCUUGGAAUUCUUGCUCAUUACUUUCCUAUUCCGAUGCAUAAUCAUAUGAAUCAUAAGGAUUUUCGUCUAACUAUUCAGAUGUUCCCAGUUGUUGCUCAUCUAUCUUUUCCAACGAAGUUAUUGUUUCGUUUCUUCGUUGGUAAAGCUCUAGCAUAAGCACUUUUUGGUUCUCCAUAAUCCCCCGUUGUUUGUAUACUCCUUCCUCAUAUAUUUCAUCUUCAUCCCAAGGGUUCAUCGAACAUCUAUUCCUCUCAGUUAUAUACUUGUUCGGCUUAGGUGGGAGUUCGUUAUAACACUCAGAUUACUCAUCUUUAUAAUUACAAAUCCAUUAGUUUGUCAAAUCUCCGUACAACCAACUCAGUUUGGAUUGCUCAUACACCGACCUAUAAAUAUCAAUAUUCAUAAUUAAAUCUGAUAAUCAACAAAGUAAAAAAAUAUAUCAAAGUAAAAAUAUUUACUUAACUAAAAAAUUCAAAAUAAUUAAUUUUUUUCAAACAAUAAUUAAAUUAAAUUAAAUUAAAUUAAAUCAAAUUAAAGUUAGAACACUAUCAAGCUAGUUCGUAUUUCGAUUAAUAUUAUUUUACAGUAAUCAACCUAAUAAAAAUUUCACCAUCGCAAUCCCCGAAAAUGACUUCAACAACUUUAUUGCCUAUAAAUGUGUUAUCGUUUAUAGUAAAAAUAGCACACCAAUAUAUAUAAUUAGAAUGGCAGUGUUCGCAAGCGUAUGAGUCAAAUUAUAAUAAAGUAUUGUGUUACAAUGGAACACUGGUAAGUAUUCUGAGGAUCACAUCCAAGGGAUUGCAGAUUGGAGAAACUAAUAUUAAAUUAAUUAUAGAAAAUAAUUACAAAUCUAAUCGAGUCACGAAUUAGAAGUGUGAACCCAAAUUAAUAUUUUAAUUAAACUAAUUAAAUUAACUAACAUAAAUUAACCCCAUGGAUUUUCUUAUCCCUAGUGUCGAGAAUGCGAGCCCCUCGUUUAUGAUCAAUUAAAUCUCUAAGUAUCUAAUUAAAUAAUUAAUUAUCCUAGAUUGAGUUAUUUAUCACCUUUAGCUAAGAAUACCCUCCCUGUUCAUCUUCACUAAAUAUUACCACCUAAGUCAUCCUUCCAGUCUCUUCCUAAGUAUACAAAUACCCUUCCGGUCUCAUCGCUCGACACAAGUUAUUCACGAUAGGAUACCUCUCAGUCUCACCUAUCUCGAUAUUCAGUUAGGGCUCUCAUUCCCUAAUAUACUAUGUGCUAUUAAAGAAAUAACCAAUUUUGUAUAAAGAAUUACUUAAUAAAUAAAUUAAGUUAUUAAUUGAGUCAUACGAGAUAUGAAAUAAGCACAAUAAUCUAUUCUAAUAUUUAUACAACAAUUAAUCAAAAGAUAAAUAAAAGAAUAGACAAAUAAAAGAUAGGAGAAGGUCAUGAAUAUAUAUUGAAGCGUGAUCCCAAAGCAAUCUCUACUUGCAAUUGUCUUCACAUCGAAAUAGAAAAGUUUUGACUACAUGAACAUGAAAAGAAAAGAAAAGAAAACCAAAAACUGAAUAGAAAAGUUGUCUGUUUAGGUUUGCCCCCAAUUCCGGUGACCCUAAGAUUGCUCAUAUAAGGAACUAGCUACUUGGUGGUCAUUCAACCCAAGAUACACUUAGAUACUAAUAAAUAAAAUAUUGUGCUAAAAGUUAGGGUCCAAAUAUAGAAAUUUCCCAAAAGUGUUGUCCAAGGAAUCAACCAUAUUUUGGCCUGCCAUCGUUGCAUCGCCAGGAUGUGGGAGUGCUCCUCGUCACGAUGUCGCCACCAUGAAUUGCCUCCCGUAAUCAUCACCUCGUCGUGACAAGAGGAAGCUCCUCGUCAGGAUGUCAAGUGCAUGCUGAGUCUUUGGUAGCUUAGUUGGCUUAUCAGGCUCCUUGUCUCAUGACCCAAUCAUCAUUCCUUGUAUUCUUGGAUAUCAAUUGACAUUCUGCACACUUAAUAGCUCAUUAAUCACUCAUAAGGCCUGAGUCGGCCUUACAGGUCAUCGAAAUAGCAAAAAAUGUGUAUAAACGCUUAUUUUAUUAACUUUUAGCUCCUAACCUACUAAUACCAAAAAUGUAAUAUUUAAUUAUAAAAGUGCUAGAAAGCAAACUUGUUAAAUGCAGAAAUGACAUAAAAUAAAUACUACAUUUGACGUCAGGUCACACCCCCCACAAAUUUCCACCUUGACUCAUAUUUACCAUGUCUUUUUUUCCAAUGCCCAUCAUGGGCUUAACUUGAUCUUUUUAGGAUAUUAAUCAAGUCCAAGCAGUGCUUGAACGUUGCAACUAGAAGGCUUCAAGUUUCUUGAACUGUCAAAUCAAAGUUCACUCGUGUCAGUUUCCCAUAAAUUUAGCGCUCUAUCUUUCCAACUUCUGCACUAUGUAAAGAACCUCUCAUAUUCAAGACGGUCAUACAUUUUUCACUUAUAUGACCAAGUUACCGAUGCCUCAAAUGAGUCGAUUUUGACUCCGUAACAGACAAGGAAAUUAUUACUUUACCAGUCACUGUUGAACUUUGCAUAACAUAAAGAUUACCAGUCUUUUAACCUCCCAUGUAACACCCUAAUUUUUGGGGUUAGAAGAUUUGAGAUUUGUGAUAGGGUUAGUGGCUAGAUGAUACAUUUGAGAUUCAUUUCACGUUUUGAUAUUAGAACGGGCUUGCUGGUCUAGUGGUUGGUGGAGUGUUAGUGUACUUUAGGUUCUGUGUUCGAACCCUCAUAGGUGUGUUUGGGGAAUUACUUUUAGUAUGGUUUUAUUUUUUUUCAAAAGUUAGUUAUUUAUUUUUAUUUUUUAUUUAAUUUUAAUUUUAAUUUUAAUUUUAGAAAACUAGAAACAUUUCACGUUUGUUUUUCCAAAAAAAUCUCUCUGCACAUUUUUUCUUUAUUCUCUCCCUCUCCUCUCACGUUAAUUUUUAUCCUUGAGUUUUCUUACUCCGUCGUUUUGUUCUUGCACCAUAUUCAUCUUCAAUCAUUAUGGUUCAUCAAUGAAGUUUGGUUGCUUAUGUUACAAAUCAGGUGUGGGUUCGGAACUCUUCUUUUUCAUUUUUCAAAUUCUAUGUUGAUUCUGGGAAAUUUGACUAAAUGUGUGUGUUUGGAAACUCUAUAAAUUUGAUGUUGAAUUACUGAUUUGAUUCUAUGAAAUUUGACAAACUCAGUGUGGUCUAAAAUUGGUAAAAACUAGAAUUGAAUAGUAUGUUUUCGAUAUAAUUUGGUAUCUUACUGAGUUACCAAGGGUUUGGGAAUUAUUUCGGCAACAAAUGCACGUUCUGUAGCUUGUUCCGAUGUGGUUUCGCGACUACACGAGUGGCCACACAGGCGAUUCAUACAGCUGUGUACAGUUGGGAAUUAGGGUUUUUGGGCAAAUUUUGGUGCCACACGACCAUGUGGCUAAAUUUGAAGAUUUUAGUCGACUUCUACAUAGUCGUGUCCCGUGGGCACAAGGGCGAGUGCAUUUGGGGAUUUUGGGAUUUUUUCUUAUCUUACACGAGCAUGUGUUUUGGACACACGACCGUUUUUGGUGGGCACACGAGUGUGUAAGACCCUCACACGGCCAUUUUUUCCCUAUACAUUAAUUUUAGCCAUUCUGGACAAAGAGUUACACAGUCGAAUCACACGGCCAUGUCCUUAGGUCACGAGGGAAUGUGGCUUAGUCACACAGCUGUGUACCUCCUUUCACAUGGGUUUGCGCCCCUCCACAUAGGCGUGUUGACCCCUACAUGGCCUAGGCUUUUCUACAUGACCGUAGCACACAAUUGUGUUGCCCUAUCUCGUAUAUUUUUGUACUAUAUUUAUUUUUAUCCAAUAAUGUUUCUGUGUGUCUCGACCCUUAUCUAAGUCUUAGUAAGGGUGCUCAGGACUUCAUUUUAGCCUAGAUUUGUGUGUAAGUCAAAAUCAUAGCUUAAAUUGAUUGAUUUUUUGUGAGCUAAUGGAUGUUGUGCAAUAAAAGAUUCUGUAUCUUAUCAAUUGAGUAUGUGUUUUUCUGAAUCUGUCUAACUGUCUGCGAUGUGUUCAUCAUUUCUGUGAGAUUGUUCGCAUACAUGCAUUUGUAUAAAUGUUUGGGUUGGGAUUUGAAGAGAAAGAACUCUGAUCUGAUUUGGCAGUUUUAACUGCAACAUGUCUGUAUAGUGGUUUACUGCAUAGUAAUACUUCUGGCAGCUCAACUGCAUACUAUUAUUUACGUGGCUUAGUUCCACAUACGUGGUGUGUAAGGUUGGAUGGGUCUUUCAAGGUCCUGUGUGGUGUGCAUGGUUGGUUGAGCUUCUUAUUACUCAUUCGUGGUGUGAAUAGGGGACGAAGAGGUGUUUUGCUGCAUAAGUGGGAUUGCUCUUCUGUAUGUGCAUACAUAUCAUAUUUCAUAUGUCUGUAGGAUUGCGUGAUUAAUUGCGUAAAGGUUGUGUGCUUGAUGUAUUUUGUACCUGUGUGUAAUGAAUGAUAACUUUGUAAUAUGCCCUUCUUUUUAGCUGGUUGUUGAAAUGGGUUGUUUCGUACACCGAUCGAAUUCUUGUAUAGUUGAGUAUCUACUUUGAAAUGUUGCCCUUGAUUUUGUUUCUGCUAUUGAACUGUUAUUUGGAAUUCUGUUUUGUAAGUCUGUCAUUUGUUGCGUUACGAACUCACACUGAGCUAGGGUAGCUCACCCCUCUUAGUUUUCCUUUUUUAGGUAUAUUCGUCUUCUGUAGCUGGACUAGGCACGCCGAAUGUCUUGGACAGCCUCGUUUUAGAACAGGUUAUAAAAGUAUUUUCAUAAAUUCUUAGUUUAUAAAUAAACAGUUUUGAAUUGUGAUUACUAUUUAGAAUACUAUGGUAUGAAUUUUUGUAAUAUCGAGAUUUUAUAAUUAGGAGUUUUUAUGUAACUUAAAUACAGACUUAUUUUCCAGUUUGUGAAACUAAAAAUAAUUUCAGUUCACUUUGGUGAUCAAUGUGACCUCUGAGAUUCGUUCUAAACUUCUAGGUCGGGUUCUGGGGUGUUACAUUUAGUGAUAUCAGAGCCAGGUUUGAAAAAACUUGGCCUCUGUUUUUACAUAUCCGUGUGCACGGGAGAUUGUUUUAAAAAAACAAUCGUAUCACAGUGCUUUCAAAUGGUUUGUGUUUUGGAAUAAGUUUUUGUAAGAAUACUGUGGUAUGAAAUUUUGUAAUAUCAGGAUUUUAUAAUUGGGAGUUUUUACGUAACUUAAAUACAAACUUGUUUUCCAAUUUAUUAAACUAAAAAUAAUUUUAGUUCACUUUGGUGAUCAAUGUGACCUCUGGGAUUCGGUUUAAACUUCUAGGCCAGGUUCUGGGAAAUAGUAAGAAGUCUGAGACUCUGAUGCCAGUCUGUACGAAACUUGGGAAUUUGUAAGAUUAGUUCUGUAAACUUAGAACUGCAAUAUUUAGACAUUUAUGCUUGCGUUUGAUUUUGGAAAUUUUAGAUUCUUUGAGAUUAGAUACAAGAUCGAUACGGAUUUUGAAGGUAAGCAAGAUUGCGAGGAUCAAUUCGGUGAGACUUUCAAGGAGUCGUCUACUUCAUCAAGAUGUGUGCUUAUUCAAGAGUCGAAAGUCAAUGCAAUUUUUCCAACUUCGGGUAGCGAUAACCUGGAGCUUAGUAUUGAGGCAUUGACUCAGGUAGUGAGAGAAGUGCCAGAACAAGUGCUCAAUGCUAGGUUAGACAGGCAUAGAAAGCUAGUGCAAAGCAGGUGUGUAGAUUGUGGGAAGAAGAGAGAUCGCAAUCCUUCGAGGUUGGAGACUUAGUCUAUGAAGCAUAAGAGAACACAUUUGAGUAACAAUAAAUGUAUUGCAGAGGGUGCUGGUGGUGGUAUGAGCGUUCCAUUUUGUGAGCACUGUAAGAAGCACCAUCCGGACAAUUUUUGGAAAAAAGUAAGAGCGUGUCUUUAAUGCGGGUCCACAAAACAUUAGAUCUAGGAAUGUCCUCGACGACAUUGAAAUAGGUAUGGGUGUAAGUUAUUUGUCAUUGUAUGUUGUUACUGAGAAUGAUUCGUUCGACUGUUCGUUGGAUAACAUUUGUGUGGGUGUGAUGAAUAAAUAUGUAUAUGCUUCAUUUGCUAAGUGUUCUGAUUGUGUGUUUGAGGUCUUAAGUUUGGUAUGGUACUGCUAGGGUUGGAGUGCACAACGGAAGCGUAGUGGUAGACCUAGGGUUAAGUUACUGUUCUGUUAGUGGGAAAUUUUGAGGAUGAAAUUUCUUUAAGGAGGGUUGAGUUGUAACACCCCGAUUUUUAGGGUCAGAAGAUUUGAGCUUUGUGAUAGGGUCAGUGGCUAGAUGGUACAUUUGAGUUUCAUUUCGCAUUUUGAUGUUAGAAUGGGCCUGUUGGUCUAGUGGUUGGUGGAGUGUUAGUGUACCUUUAGGUUCUAUGUUCGAACCCUCAUAGGUGUGUUUAGGGAAUUACUUUCAGUGAGGUUUUAUUUUGUUUUUCAAAAGUCAGUUAUUUAUUUUUAAUUGUUAUUUUAUUUUAAUUUUAGAAAACUAAAAACUUUUUACGUUUAUUUUUCCCAAAAAAAUCUCUCCGCACAUUUUUUUUCUUUCUUCUCUCCCUCUUUUCUCACGUUAGUUUUUUCCCUUGAGUUUUCCUGCUCCGUCGUUUUGUUCCUACACCAUAUUCGUCUUCAAUCGUUGUGGUUCAUUAUUGGAGUUUGGGUGCUUAUCUUGCAAAUCAGGGGUGGGUUCCGAACUCUUCUUUUUCAUUUUUGAAUUUCUGUGUUGAUUCUGGGAAAUUUGACAUAAUAUGUGUUCAGAAACUCUAUAAUUUCAAUGUUGAAUUAUCAAUUUGAUUCUGUGAAAUUUGACAAAUUCUAUGUGUUUUGAAAUUGUUAAAAAUUAGCAUUGAAUCGUAUGUUUUCGGCAUAAUUUGGUAUCUUGUUGAGGUACCAAAGGUUUGGAAAUUUUUUUGGCAAUAAAUGCACAUUCUGCAGCCUAUUGCAUGUGGUUUCAUGACCAAACGGGUUGCCACACAGGCGUCUACUGUACACGAGCGCUUCAUAGGGCCGUGUGCAAUUUGGAAUUAGGGUUUUUGGGCAACUUUUGGUGCCACACGGCCAUGUGGCUGAAUUUAGGGGUUUUAGUUUACUUCCACACAACUGGGUCCCCUAGGCACACGGGCGUGUGUAUUUAAGGAUUUAGGGAUUUUUUUCUUAUCUCACACGGGCGUGUGUUUUGGACACACAGUCGGGUCUGGUGGGCAAACGGGCGUGUGAGACCCUCACACAGCCGUGUUUGCCCUGUACCUUGAUUUUAGUCAUUAUGGAUAGAGAUUUGCACGGUCAGAUCGCAUGGCCAUGUCCUUAGGUCACACGGUCGUGUGCCUCCUUUCACACGAGCGUGUCCCCCUCCACAUGGGCGUGUUGACCCCCACACGGCCGUAGCACACAGUCGUGUCACCCUAUCUCGCAAAUUUUUGUACUGUAUUUGUUUUUAAUCUGAUAAUGUUUCUGUGCGUCCUGACCCUUAGCUAAGUCUUAGUAUGGGUGCUCGGGACUCUAUUUUGGCCUAGAUUUCUGCGUAAUUUGUAAUCAUAGCUUAAAUUGAUCGAUUUGUUGUGAGCUAAUGGAUGCUAUGCAAUAAAAGAUUCUGUAUCUGAUCAAUUUAGUAUGUGCAUUUUUUAUUCCGUCUGACUGUCUGUGAUGUGUUCAUCAUUUCUGUAAGAUUGUUCACAUACAUGCAUUUGUAUAAAUGUUUGGGUUGGGAUAUGAAGAGAAGGAAGUCUAAUCUGAUUUCGUAGUUUUAACUGUAACACAUCUAUAUAGUGGUUUACCGCACAGUACGAUACUUCUGGCAGCUCAACUACAUACUGCUAUUUACGUGGCUUAGUUCCACAUGCGUGGUUGUAGGGUUAGAUGGGUUUUUCGAGGUCCUAUGUGGUGUGCAUGGUUGUUGAGCUUCUUAUAGCUCUUUCGUGGUGUGAAUGGGGGACGAAGAGGUGUUUGGCUUGAUGGGUGGGAUUGUUAUUUUGUAUGUGCAUACAUAUCACAUUUGAUCUAUUAGUAGGAUUUCGUGAUUAAUUGCGUAAAGGUUGUGUGCUCGAUGUAUUUUGUACCUGUGUGUAAUGAAUGAUAACUUUGUAAUGCGUCCUGGCUUUUAAUUGGUUGUUGAAAUGGGCUCUUUCGUACACCGAUUGAGUUUUUGUAUAGUUAAGUAUCUACUUUGAAACGCUGCUGUUGAUUUCGUUUCCGCUAUUGAACUGUUAUUUGGAAUUCUAUUUUGUAACUCUGCCAUUUGUUACGUUUUGAAUUCACACUGAGCUAAGGUAGCUCACCCCCUUAGUUUUCCCUUUUUAUGUUUUUACGUCUUCUGUAGCUGGACUCAACACACCGAAGGUCUCGGAUAGCCAUGUUUUAGAACAGGAUAUAAAAGUUUUUCAUAAAUUCUAAGUUUAUAAAUAAACAGUUUUGAAUUGUGAGUACUAUUUAGAAUACUGUGGUACAAAUUUUUGUAAUAUCAGGAUUUUAUAACUGGGAGUUUUUACGUAACUUAAAUACAGUUUUGUUUUCCAAUUUGUUAAACUAAAAAUAAUUUCAGUUCACUUUGGUGAUCAAUGUGACCUUCGAGAUUCAGUCUAAACUUACAUCUCAUCAGAAGAAGAGCUUCACGAGAUACCUUAAUGUUGCUUGACUCGAUGGUGAUCCUACAACCUAUCAAGUCUAAUUUUCUUAAGGAGAUGAGGUUCUUUUUCAAGUCAGGCACAUGCCUGGCAUCUGAUAGUAACAUAAUGAUUUCGUCGUGCAUCAUAAUCUAAAUAGUGCCAGUAUUGAUUACCUUACAUGGUGAAUUAUUCCCCCAUAAGCACAACUCCACCUUGAACUAGACUAUAUAUGGAGAACAAGUCAUUGUUUGGACACAUAUAGAAAGAACACCUUAAAUCCAGAAUCCACUCGUGUAGCACCCUAUACCUGGCCUGGUCGCCAAGCCGAAAUAUGGGAUGCCACACCACCGUCUUAUGUCAUAUACAAUAAGUAAAAGUUCAACCUACAGGAAGCAUCAUCCAUCUUAGUAUUCGUAUUGGUUUUAGGUCAAUUAUACUUGUUAGUUAUCAAUGUUACAUGCUAACCAUACAUCAAAUAGUGUUAUAAUAAUAAUUAAACAUGCAUAAGGUCCAUUUAACAAAAUCUAAAAACUGUCACGUAGGUAUCGAUACUGACACUAGGGUAUCGAUAUUUCCUUUAAGUGGUAUCGAUAUCAACUAGAAAAAUAAUACCAAACUUGCAUUAUGUUUCUCGAUUAAAAACCAAAGUCUCAAAAAUUAUUCGUACCUGUCUUAAAGUAUCAAUAAAUUUACCCCGAGUAUCGAUACUCGAGAAAAGGUAUUGAUACCAUAUCUUUAUUCUAACUUCGUACACAUUUCAAAACACAAAGGUAUUGAUUUUAAAACUUGAUUAUUGAUACCUCUGUUACAAACCUCAAAAAUGCAGCAUACAUAUGCAAUUAAUCCAUUCCAAUUUAGUUCCUAAAUGUCAUACAUCAAUUACUUUGACAAAUAAUCAUUCAACAACCUAAUUAACUGUUCAAUAUUGCAAAAUCGUGUUCGAGCAAGUAACGUCAAUCCAUUAUCAUUUUCAUGAACUCAAGCAUAAUAAUAACAUGUAAUCCUGAAAAAUCGAACCAAAGACCAGCAAAAUGUCUAGAAGUUAACAUGGCUAUAAACAAGUCUACCACAUUGCCUUUUUUCCCCAAAACUUAAAUAAAUAUAGAACACCUACGAAAUAACGCAAAAGUCUUGCUUAGAUCACCUCCCGGAACCACACCGCUCACACUGGCACACAAUUAAUUUGCAAUGGUUAGAGAAGGGAGUGGGUGAGCUUAACAAGCUCAAUGAAUUCCUAAAACAACUACCACGCAAAUAGUUCAUCAAGCAUUAACGAAACAACCAUAUAGCAUAGACUUAAUAGUUCCAACUUUAGUGUUAUAAUAUACUUACUUGUGCAUUAUUAUUAGUUCUUUUACAUGGUAAUCAUAUUCAUUUCUAAGCAUAUAUCCUAUUACACAUAUAAUCACCUAUCAUUCAAGCAUAUAUCACAAUAUUCAAAAGCAUGUUUAUAGAUAAAUUACAUAAUGGUCACAUACUCAUUUAGGCAUACAUCAUGUUACACAUAUGUACAUUUUAAGAUAAUUUGACACUUGAGUUAUGAAACAUAAAAGUGAGUUCUAUCAUCACUCAUUGGAUACGCGGAUCUCCAACACACCAAACAUAGACUUAUAAAGUCAAACAUGUCCCUAAAGUGAAGCAUAAAGCUAAUGCUCUCUUAUUUCCCCUUUUAUGUCCCGUUGAAUGGAUGAUAGCUCACAUUCCUUUAUCCCUCAAACAUGUCUCAAGGCCUCAACACCCAAAAUCACUAUACAUAUAGGUGAGUCCUCACAAUCCUAUGGCAUGCCAACUAUAUCCAACGGUUUCAAGAUCAUAAGGCCAAAAUAUCCAAAGUCAAACACAUAUCACUUACCGAUUAUUCAUGUAUAAUCACUGCAGAUUUGCAUCUUUAGCAACACACUAUCACUAACAUUUAACAUAUGCAUGUUAUACUCUCACAACAUUUAUCAUAACCACAUAUCACAUUUUAUAGCAUCUCAUCUCAAUUCACAAGAUAACGUAGGUAUGAGAAAGCUUACACUCAAAAUUUAGAGUAGGGAUUUAGGCUACUACUAAAUUCCCAAAUAAUGAAUCAUGUCCACGAGUAAUUAUUCCAAACACUCACCAAUUACGCUUUUGCCGAAAAACCGAAAGCUUAAAACUAACUUUUCCUUACCUUUAUCUCUAAUCAUAGAACUUCAACACAACAAACUCACACAACAAUACAUCAAAAAAUUAGUCAAUGACUUAUUACAAGCAUACAAAACAUAAGCCUAAACUAAGUUCUCAUGUAAUCGAAACCUUUAACAUAACCAACUUAAAACUCAAAUAUCUCAGUCUAUACUCAAUCAUUUCGCCUAAAACCAAUUUCGUUCAUCUUACAAUUCGCCUACGACUAAUUGUCAACCUUUAUAAUACAAUAAAAUACUAAUUUCAUUGUACCAACUUUUUCGACAUGUUUUAUGGCUUUUUUUUCUGAAAAUUCAUUAAAACUUAAGAAUUCUUUAAUGAAACUUCAAAGUAAGUUUACAAACCUUCUAAUAAAGUUAAAAAAAAGUUGAAAACACUUUAAAACCAAGUUUUUAUGCAAAAUCCCAAAAUUCACCAUUAAAGACCUGAUUUUUGGCUUUUAUUUAAAAUAUGCGAUUUAAUGGCUAAAAACUUGGUUUUAAAGACUAUAUAACAUUUAAACCUAAUUAGAAGUUGAAUCAUUACCUUAGAUGAAGAAAAUCUAUGCAUUUCAUCAAAGACUCAAAAAACCCGAAAGCUUAACAAUGGAGGAACUAUGAUAUUUUUGGGUGUUUUUCUUGGUUUUUUUAUAGAGAUUUAAGGUUCAAGGGUGAUAGAAAUCAAAAAGGAUUUGAAAUUGGAGUUCAAAAUUGAUUGAAGUAGCAAGGGAGAAUCAAGGGACGACAAACACAAAUUUUGGGGAAAAUUUACGUGAAAAAUUGUAGGUGGGAAAGAAUAAAUAGGUUGGUUUUUAAAUUUUGGUCUAUUUGCUUCUUAAAAACUCACAACUUUGAAUCUUUUACAAAUCAGUUCUACUUUCAAAAUUAAAGGUAUUUUAAACUCAUUUUGAAAAAUUGAUUUAAUUUUCUAAAAACCAUAGUAAAAUACAUUACUGAUAAACCAUAUUGCAAAAUUUUGAACACUCAAAGGAUAAAAUUUCUAAAAUACCCUUAAAACUCCUAGACCCUAUUUUAGGGUGUUACAACUCGAAUGUAAGUUUAGACCUUCCAAUCGUAGACACCGACAACCAAUUAUCACCUUUUUUCCUCGGCCACACUAGUAUUAACUACCUCAGCCUUCCAUUCCUCGUCGCUCUUAAAAGCCCUUCUGUUUCUAUUUUUCAACCUAUAACAUUAUGCCUGUAUGUGACUCAACUUCUUGCAGUAGUUAGAUGGCUUGUCAUGAUUCCUCGACUUCGAUCUUGACCUAGAAUUAUUCUGAUCUACAUCCUUAGACUAUUGCUUGCCUCUAGUGACCAAAACUGAGGUUUGACUAACAGACUUGCUUCCCUAACUCAUUUAUGAGUUUUUCCUAACUCAACAAGUUACCCUUCACAUCCUCAAAUGAGAUUUUAUCUCUACCAUAAAUCAGGGUAUCCUUGAAAGUUUUAUAUGGAGGGGACAAAGAGCACAAUGAUAGCAUAGUCUGAUCUUCAUCAUCUAUAUUGAGCUCAACAUUCUUCAAAUCAUUCAAGAGAGUAACAAAUUGACUGAUGUGACCUCUAAGGCUUUCACUUCAUCCAUACGGUACGCGUAUAGGUGUUGUUUCAAUACCAAUCGUUUGGCUUCAAACUUUGUCAUGUAUAGGGUUUUUAAUUUUCUCCAUAACGCUGCUACUGUUUUCUCUGUAAGCACCUUUUGCAACACAUUGUUUGUGAGACACAAUUCACUUGUUGACAGAGUCUACUCAUCAAGCUCUUCCCAUUUUGGCUGGUUUAGAUUUUUAGGCUUUUGCUCGGUAACGACCCUUUUUAAGUCGUUCUGAACUAGAAUUGUCGUCAUUCGUACUUGCCACAAACUGAAAUUUGCGAUCCCAUCUAACCUUUUGAUACCGAAUCUCGUUGUUGUCAUUCUGAGUGAGUUGAUUGCGAAAUUCGAACCAAACUCUGAUACUAAUUUGUUGGGGAUUGAGCCGUAUAAAAAACAAAAUAAAAAAGUAGAAAAUGUCUAACACAUAAAUUUAAGGUGGAAAACUCCUCUGAAGAGGAUAAAAACCAUAGGAAAAUAAGGCUUCACUAAUCAUCAAAGUAACGAAGAGUACAAUAUGGAGAUAAUAAUCCUAAAAGAGCAAAACACAAACCCCAAAUACAAAGCCCUCUAAAACUCUCCCCAAAGCUCUUCACCAAAUAUCACAUAAGAGAUAUUCAAUGAACUCACUAACCAGGGUUACAAAGACAUUUUAAAUUGGCUAUAGUCAUAGUGCUAAUAUGACUAAAGUAUCCUAUAUUAAUCAUAGUUCAACUGGGCAAAGAUAGCAGAGUUUAACUAGGAGAAAAGACCCGAUUUAUGUGGGAACACGUUGUCACGUUGUCACGUCAUUUAUCGACUCAUCUCGAUGUUAUUUAUUGGCUCGUCUUGAUGUCCUGAUAAAUGCUCGUCGAUCGGGAGAAAAGAUCUGAUAAAUGUCAUUUUGAGCCUUCUUCAUUUGCUCGUCAAUCGACUUUCUAACUGUUUGGAGUCAAAUAAAUGUGAGGCACACCCCACACAUUGAGUCAUUGUACUAUUUUUUUAUUCAAAAAUCUUGAUCCUUUGUUUAAUUUUCCCGUUAAAGUUAUAAAUGUCAAAGGUAAAAUAACUUUUUAGCCCUUAAUAUUUAUAUUUUUUUUUCAAUUUGGUCUUUACCCUUUAAAAUUACAUAAAAAAGUUUCAAACUUUUUUUUCACAUUUAGAAAAAAACAUAAACACUAAGAAAAUUAUAUUUUUUAAAAAAAUAAAAUUUUAAUUUAAAAAAUAAAAAUUGAAAAAUAAAAAAAUGAAAAAGCUUUUAAAAAUAUAAAAAAAAAACUUAAAAAUUUAAUGUUACCUAAACUGGACCUGACCGAACAAGUCGAUCAAACUAGGAACCAAUUGGGGUAUCGAUUUGUAAGAGGUAAUGUAACACUCCUAUGUCUGUCGGGACGAUCAAAGAAGUGUUAUCAGAAGGUUUAAUGUUGCACGAUAAGAAGAAAACAAGGUUUCACUUUUAAGUUAUAAAGACGGUGCACUGCUAUUAAUUAAUGCUCAACGAGUUCACAUUUGAAAUAUAAACCAAAGUAAUAAAUACAAAUACGUACAAUAAUUUAGAAUGAAGGUUCAAUGUUCGAAAGAGUAAAAACAAAAGUUGUUCAAGCCUGCAUGCUGCCCUCGUUUGUACAUGUACAAAAUUACAAAAGGGAUGACUCACAAAUGAGAUCGUGCUUUGGUUGAGUCCUUUCAAAAAAUCCGCAACUUAUGGAAAGAAGAAAAACCGCCCAAUUUCUAAAUGAACUUAGUGAGUUCCAAAAAUCUAUAACCUUUUUGCAUUAAAAGGGGAACACAUCAAAACAUCAUCACGCAAGUAUUCUAAGAGUUAAUAAGUCAAGCAGUUCAUCCUAGGGGUGAACUAAAACAUUUAACCGAUAUGGCAUCCUCUCUCACCAUAGCUCGUUGCUUCUAAGGUGUGCUUAAUAAUUCAGCUUGUGCAUGUCAUAACUCGCACAUAUGCAUAGCUUGCACAUUGACCACAACUUGGACAUUCACUACAUCUCGCACAUGGGCACAACUCGCAUGUUAGCAUAGAUUGCAUAUUGACUACAACAAACAUAUGGGCACAUCACACACAUUAAUGUAGCUCGCACAUGGUUACGGUUCAUUUAUAAGCUUAGCUUUCAUAUUGUCAUAGCUCGGGCGUUGCCACAGCUUGUGCAUACAUUGCAGAUACAGUUUCCAUGCAACUUAUUGUAACAUUAGCACGCACAAUUGUUUCACAAUUUCAGUCCGCACAUACGCUACAGUGUCAGUUCACUUAUAGAACUUAAUGUAAUUAGCAUGCACAUACCUUAUAUAGGCAGUUCGCAUAAGGAACGUAAUAUAAUUAGCACACACAUACUUGGUUUAGACAGUUCACACACGGGCCCUUAAUAUAAUCAGCACGCAUAUACUUGUUUUAGACAGUUCACACAUAGACUCUUUCUUGUGCUAGCUUAUGAUCCUUUCAUCGCUCCGAAGAGCCCAUAUUUCAUUUAUACCAACCUACCUUCGUAAAUCCUCCUUGUUAAUUUGAAUGCAUUCGUGUUCCCCUAUAAGGUCGGGGUCUUUCGCCAAUCUCGGUUUGCAUUUACAUGCCUUACUAGAGGAAAAACACAUAUCAGUUCAUAUCAUUAAUCUCCAUUCGAUUCUCCCAUCACAAUCACACUUCAACAGUCACCUCCGUUUCUCUCAUUUCCUCCAUUUUGGAUAUUGAGCUUGUGCACCAAGGAAGGAGUAUCCAUUUUGAUCUUUUACACACAAACAAUUUCCAUAUUUAUAGCUCUCCCACUCAAGAAAGCACAUCCAAUGAUUAAUUUACGUAGGUUGUACAUUUCUAUUAAUCGAUUCUAACUAGUUUAUGGAAAUAAGCUUUACAUAGAUUUAAGCAAAACGAAAUUAGUAAACCAAAAGACAUAGCAAAACUUUACCUAGUCAGACGAAAACUUUAAGUAAUUCAUUAAUUAACAAGUAUAAGUUAAGGGAACUCACAAAAGUUUCCAAAAAUGUUUCUGUUUAUUUUACAGGUUCUUUUGUCACAUCCAAACUAGAAGAAAUAAAGAUAAAAUUUAGAUUUUAAUGCAUAAUAAGAAUAGGGAAAGCGAACCUAUAGUGCCUUAAAUUUAUUGUUGAUAAGGAAUUAAAAAGAAUAGACCACUAGGCUUAAUUGUUAAGUGUUAAGCAAGUUAAGGUCCUAGGUUUGAACUCCCUUAAUUGCACCCAUUUGCUGAUUUUUUUUCCAAUUUCCCCUAAUGUUUGGCCAAAACCCUUAAAAAUAGUUUCUUAAAGGCUAAUGUCAAGAAUGAGUUUGUUGGUUCAAUAGUUAAGACUUAGCAUCCCCUUCGAUCCCAAGUUCAAAACCUUUUGUGCGCUUUUAGCCAAAAUAUUUUAUUUUCUUAUUUUACCCCCAUAAAGUAUCGAAUUUUCAAACCAAGCCCAAACCGAAAACUAUAUUUUUUUAUUUUAGACCUUAAUUUAAAUCAAUCUUAAUUCUAAACUAAUUCCUAAUUCUAUUUUAAUUAGGGAAGAAUUUUUAUAAAUAGCCAAUCUUUUCAAAACCUAGAAUUCUUAUUUAUAAUUUUUUUCAAGAAAAGCUCUCAAAAUUCUCUCUUCUUAUUCAUUACUGAAACCCUCAUUGCAAUUAGGGUUCUUAAAAGUUCAAUAUUGGCCUAUUUUCUCAUCCAUUGUCAAACCACAUUACUUAACCAAAGAUUUCAAGAUUUUCUAUUGCAUCUGUCUCAUCCUAGUGGUUGCAAACCCUAUAUACGAACAUGUUAUGUACAUGUUAGCUGAAUUAGCAUGUUAACAACCUAAUGUUAAUACAUCGAUACAAGUUUUUAGUUUGCAUGAAGAAAUUGUAUAUGUGAAAUUGAUAUGAAUGAAUGCAUGAAUACAUGACAUUAGAUGAUAAUAUGAAAUAAUAAAUGUGCUUGACAAGAAUAGUAUCAAUUGUUGAUAAAUAGCAUGAUAUGCUGAGUUUAUGUGCAUAAUUACAUGAAAUUGAGUAUGGAGGAUGGAGGAGUUUCGUAGGAGAAAGUGCCAAUUGAAGUCCACACUGAAAGUUAGUACUGCAUGAAGUAGGCGACAAUAUCAUCGAAAUUGGGUAAAUCGGAUUGAUAGUUUAAAAAGGCCAUCAAAAUUGGGCAACUCGGGAUGGUAAGUUAUUGUAAUAAAAGUCAUCUUCACAGAUGACAAGUGAAUGUCCAUAGUCACGGGGAAAUUCAGGAUGGUCAAUUAUUGAUAUUGGUUUUAGAGUGUCAAGCGAUGCUCGAGGGCGGAUAUGAUGGAUGGGUGAGAACUUAAAAUUAAAAUUCUAGUGCAUCAUGAACAUAACCUAUACAUGCAUUGAUUUAUUGAAUAUUCCUUACAUUAUGCUUAAUCUGCUAUGAUGUUAUAAAUUGCAUGUUUUACUAUUUGAACAAUUAUAUAUAAUGGUUUAAAAAUUAGACUUGCAUUGGGCUGCCAUAAGCUCACUUUCCCCUUUCCUUACCUCUUAGGUAAUGCAAAAAACUAGGACUAGGAAUGGCAUUAGAGGAACCUCGAACUAGCAUCUCAUGUUUUUUAUUUAACAGUUUCCAUUAAAGCUUUCUUUAAUUGUUUUAUUGGUUUAUUUAUCGGGUUGUAAAUUAUUAAUUAUUUUUUUAUUUUAUAACUAUGGUUUGGGAUUAUUUAGCUUAUUAAUUUCUAAGCAUGAUACUUGGUUAAUACCCUGAUAAUUGCAUUCUAAUUAGUUUAGAAAACUAUUAUUCUUAAUAAUGUUUUCCUCUACUUUGCUAAAAACUUAAAGUUUUGAUAAGUCUUUUUAAACCUUAACUGUUUUUCUCAAAAAUUCACACUAAUAAUAUUGUAAUUGGAUUACUAAGUAAAGCCGGUUUGAUUAUUGAUUUUUUUAUUAAAAACAAAAUAGUGAUUUUCAUACAAUUCAACUCAAGCAUAAGAAUGACUUUAUUUGAUCACUUUGGUGAUCAAUGUAACGCCAUUGACUUAGCCAAAACUCUUAGGCCAGGUCAGGGGUGUUACAUCUUUUCCCUUUCUACUAGGGCCUUCCCCCACUUCUUUAGUUAAACACAUUCAAUACCUCAGUUACCAAAUAGAAACAACCAGAACAACAACCAAGUCCUUAUCGAAAAUUGAGAAAUCUAACAACUAUUGCAACAUGCAACAAUUGCAAAGGAGAAUACUCCCUUCACCCAUACUUUCAAUUUAGUCCUAUAUAAACAAUUCCUAAAAUUUUACUGAAAUUAUGGUUAAAGACAGACUCAAGAAAGUUACUAGCAACUACUUGAAAAAGAACAACUUCUAAGCAAGUUAAAAUCAUGAUUUCCUCCCACAAACAGCUAGAGUUAUAAUCUUCAAUUUCUCAACGAAGGUACACAGGAAAGACACAGGAAAGGAAAAUAGAAUUGAAGUCUUCUCCCCUUUUUCCUCUCCCCUCGACCUCCUACUCUACUCUUAGAAUAAUUUAAGAUUAAAAAUAAUUUAACCAGUCAAUGCCCUUAGCCAACCACUAAUAGCAACACAUGCACACACAGUUCCACUACCCACUAACUAUUCCUGAGGCCAACAAGUCUCAUGCACGAUGACACGUUUCCCUUCUCAAAGCUUAACACAUGCCCAAAUACGUGUCAUACACAUCGCGAGGAGUUAAGGUAACAACGAGCUCACAAACUAACGAGCUCUUUGACUAAAGAGCUCGGAGAGCAGUGAACUCAAUAACUAACGAGCUCACAAACUAGUGAGCUCACAAGGCAGCAAAGACAACUUGCCACAUACGAGGUGGAGGCUUGCGAGAUGGUAAGACAAUAGCGAAGCAGCUCAUGAGGGGAUGUUCAAAGAUAAAACCAGUCUAAUUCUCACGAAUUAGACGAGCUCACACAAGUUCCUUACCGUUCCCACUUGAUUAACAUUCCAGAAUACAGUUCCAAAAAUUUGGGGUGUGACAGGUGAAAAGUUGGUUGACUUGCGAACUGAUACGGACUACUUGAACCUAGUAAAAAAAUCAAUUGAACCUAUUUUGCACUGGUUUGACCAAUUGGUUCCUAGAACAAUUGGUUUAAUUGGUUCAAAGCAAAUAAAUUAUGAAAAAUAAAAAAUAAAAAUAUACAAAAAUCGGUUCAAUUUGUAGUUAAACUGAUUUUAUCCUACUUCAACCAGUCCAUGCCAGUUCGCAGGUCAACUGGCUUUUAAAAUUUUUAAACAUUUUUAGCCUUCAAGAUUUACAUUUUUUUUGUCAAUUUUAUCCAUACCCUUUAAAAGUACAUAAAUUUUUAAAAAUGAUUAAUUUUUUUUAAUUUAAAAAAAGCAUAAAAAUUGAAAAAAAAGUAUAAAUUUUUUAAAUAUAAAAAUAUUGUAACGCCAUAAAUAAUUUAUUUAUGUUUUUGUAAAUCCUAACAUAAAUGAGUAUUUGCUUCAAUGGCUAAGUGCUUUGGAUGUGUGUUUGUGGUCUUGGGUUUAAGUCCUACUUUCUGGAAAAAUUUUGUUAUUUUUUUUUUAUUCUAGCCUUAUCUCUGCUGGAUAGGCUUAUGUAAUAUUGUUUGUAAACUCAUAUAAGAAUCAGUCUGCUGAUUUGAGUGGUAAGGAGUUAGUGUGUUGGAGUUCUUGUGGCUGAAUCCCUGCCCGAGCUUGAGUGUUAAUUUUUGUUCCGGUUGUCUGUUAGAGGUUCGGUGGAGUUGGGAGUCUAAAGUAGUUGGAUGUGGUUAGUGGGGAGGAUAUUAUGGGAUGUGGUUGUUAGUGGGGAGUUGAGAUGUUAAUCAAAAAUCAAUUUAUUAUCUUUUUAUUUUAUUUUUUAAAAUUUUUCUCUCUCUUCCCAAAAGUCUAACGUUAGCUUUCUUUUUCUCUACCAUAUUCUUUUUUCUCUUCUUUUUCCUACAAUUCUAUCUUUGAUCUGCUGUCGUAUCAGUGUAUUUCAAAAUUUUGGUGUUUUACUUGCAGUUGGGUAAGUAGGGAUUUCACUUGUCUGUAACGAUUCUUGUAAGUUGUUGCGUUUAUUCAUUUCGUUUAAAUUUCUAAAUGGUGUGAAGUAAGGGAGUUUGAUUUUCGGUGAUGUAUUGCGUAGGAGUUGUUGGUGAACCUGCGGAUUUCGCUCCUACAGCAUAAACCGCAGUAGGGGUUGUUCUUAUCGGUGGUAAGUGUGUUUGCGCGAUUCAGUUUUACGAUGUUAAAUUCGUAUUUGAUUGCUAAAAAGGUGUUGGGUAUUAUAUUUUUAAGUGCUAGUGGUCUCGGAAAUGGUUUCGCAUCAAAACUGAACUAGGUGUGUAUCCCUAACAUGAGAAAAUGAUAUUCAGGGAAAGCCAAAAAUGGGGUUUAUUGACACCACACGGGCGUGUGCCCAAUCGUGUAUGAGACACGACUGUGUGACUGGCGAAGGUGUGGCCAUGCGCAUGACACAGCCAUGUGACGGUGUGAGUAUGGUCGUGUGGGCCACAUGGCCUAGGCCAGGUUAGGCGUGUGGGUCACACGGGCAUGCCUCUCGGGCGUGUGGGUUUUGGGCCAUGUCGUGUAGGCCACACGGGCAAGGCCAAUCUGGGCGUGUGGGCCCACACAAGCAUGUGGGCCUAAAAUUUUAAAAUAUUCCCUAGAGUCGCAUGGGUCGUUCUGAUAGACUGCAGACCUACCGUAGGGUCGAUAAGGGCUAACCAAACCCUAAUUCAUGUGAUCUGAGUAGGACACUGAUACGCAUGUCUAACUGUUCUGUUUGAGUAUAUAUAUGUUAUCCAUAUACAAGCAUGUUAAGCAUGUUAACUCUGUUAAUUUUGUAUUCUGUAUUUGUGUUUGGGGUGGUAUUUGCAUAUGUGGAGGAAGUGAUCUAUCGGUGACCUUUCGCCUAUAUUCAUGCAGCUUGACUGCAUAUUAUUCUAUCAUGUGUUGCAUCGACACUAUAUGGUGUGUUGGGAUGGGUGGGUGUUUUUAACCCCACAUGGUGUGAUGGGAUGGUCGGAGAUGGUGUGUAGAGGAUGGGGGUAGGAUUCUAUAUAUCUCUUCUGCUUAACUGAUUUUGAUAUCUGUAUCUGGUCUGAAUUUGCAACUGACGGUAUAUGAAAUUCUAUAUAUGUUGCAUGACUAUUUCUGUUGGGUUACACACUAAGUUUAUGAAAACUCACAUCUAUUUGUUUGUUCUGUUCAGGUAAUCCACAGACUUAGGCGGGUCGGUGCGCCGGAGGUUCAGCGGUGACCACUUUAUCGAGAUUUUUUUAUUUUAUAAUAAUGGUUUUAUUUUAAAAUUUGGCUUUUGUGAGAGUUCUUUAAUUUUUGGACUCUCCGGACUUUUUGGACUGUUUGGUUUGAAUUCUUGGGUUUGAUUGCGUUAUGAUUUCUAAACUGCGAAGAUUCAACAAAAUACCGAUUUUACGUGAACAAAUGUUAUUUUUGGAAACAAGAACAUGGUUUUGUUUUAAACGAUUUUCAAACUUUUGCUGUGAAAUAAUUAGUUAUAAAGGACAACAUAUAACGAUUUCAGUAAUAUAUAAACGGAUAUAUUUUAUAAUACUUGAAUGUUUUAUCAAAUAACUAAACAUGGUUUUAUCCAAGUAUAGGCAAUUUCAAAACCCUUCUUCGUAGCACUCCCAGAUUCGACCAUAGCUCUAGGUAGUGUUCGGGGUGUUAUAGAUUUUUUUUAAAAUAUAAAAAUAUUUAAAAAAAUAAAAACUCUUGAAAUUUCAAAAAUCAAAAGAUCUUAAAAAUAAAAAAUUCCAAAAUUUAAUGUUAUAUAAAUCAGACUGGACCGAUAGGAUCAAGAAUCAAUUGGGGUAUAUUGGUACAAACAGGUUUUUAUAAUUUAUAAUUUAUUGUUUUUAAUAAUAUAUUUACUUUGAACCUGUCGGACUAAUCGUUCUGGGAACCAAUUGGUUAAACUAGUUUGAAUUCAGUUCAAUUGCUAGUUCAACCAAUUUUUAGCUUGGUUCAACUAGUCCAUACCGGUUUCUGGGUCAACUUUUUUUUUUGCGUCUGGUCGGACCAAUACCCCAACCGAUUCCUGGUCCUAUUGGCUAGUUUGGUCUAGUUUAGAUAAUAUUGAUUUUUUGAAUUUUUUAUAUAUAUUUUUUAUUUUAAAGUGUUUUUUUCUAUAUUGUUUAUAAUUAAAUUAUGAUUUUUUAUUUAAUAUAUGAAAAAAUAUUUAAUUUUUAAAUUGUUUAUAUACUUUUAAAGGCUAAGAUCAAAUUGAAAAUAAUUAUAAACAUUGAAGAUUAAUAGUAUUAUUUAACCUUUGACACCAUUAAUUCUUUAAAAAAAAGAAUAAAUAUUUUUAAAUAAAAAAGUAAAAUUAAAUGGAUAAAAUAAUAUUUUAAAAUAAAAAAUAUAAAAAUUGAAAGCAUAUUCUAACUAUUUUUAAUUCCAGACUUGGAUCGACCAAAACCCCAUUUCAAACUCUCAAAGUCUUUGAAGAACCGACUAAGAAAUUAACAAAAUGUAUAUUCAUAUUUAUUUACUUAUUUUUCUUAUUUUCUUGGGUGAGGGCCUGAUUGGAACGUGAACAAACAAAAAGAUUGUUAUAUAAUAUUCUUAAAAGAAUUUGUAUAGUAUUUUUAAAUUAUUCUCUUAUAAUCUAAUUUUCGAAAAACUAACGCUUUUUUACUCAAAAUGAGAGAUAGUUUAUAUGGUAAUUCACCUCCUUUAUCAGUGCAAGAUGUUAAGGUGUAAGAUAUUCUAUAUUCUAGAAACAAAUUGUGCAUUUCUGUAGGUUGGGAAAAGUCAAACUAGGUAGUUAGGUUGCCGUAGACAUUUGAUCUUAAUUAUUAUCCUUAGUACAAUAAUUUGACACUAAUUAUAUUAUAUUCUAUUUUAACAACACGAUUAUUAUUAUAAUCAACUACGUUUUCUGCAGGCUACUUGCUUUCUGGAUAGUCCAAGUCUUCCCACGAAUUUGCCAUUAAUUCCAUUCUAUUCUAUUUUGUUUACUUUUCUCAUUACGAUAAUAAACUAGUUAAUUGAAGUUGCAUUCCUAUUUCACCUUAAAAUUUCAUCCAAUUAUUAUUUUGGUAUUAAAAGAAUAUUUAUGAUCACAAUUUUAUAAAGUAAAUAAUAGUAAUUUAACUUGAAAGUUUGUCUAAACUUUAGAUUUACCUUAAUUUCAUUUGAAUCAAUUUGAAAAAAGAUUAGAAUGUUAAAUAAGUAAAGGGUAAAUGUAAUUCAAAAUGAAUAGCAAAUAAUUUCAACUUUCUAUUUUAAUUCUAAAAUUUUUUAUUUUUAAUCAACUUAUAAUUCUUUAAAUUUGAAAUAAAUCAAAUAAAAAAUAGUCUAAUAAUUUGUAUUUAAAUUGAUCAAAACUCAAAACUAUCUAAAUUUAAAAUAGUUAAACUCAAAAUGAACUCAAAUCUCAAAUAAAAAAGAUUGAUUAAAGAGACAAUUAUGACAACUACGAAUUCAUCUGCAUGGAAAUUUAUGGCAAUGGUAACAUUAGUUUGGAAUCUAAAAUGAUUGAAAAAGAAAAACAUAAACAACUUUAUACAAUUUAAUUCAAUUCUUUUAAGUCUUGACAAGUCUUGAAACAACUAAUUCCAUAUACAAUAAUAUUGUGAUAAUUUCUGGAAUUUUUUUUAUAAUGAUUGUAAAUUUUUUUAUCGUGAAAAACUAAAAUUUUAAAAAAUAAUAGAAAAUCAUCCAAGUUUGUUAAAAAGUACAAUAGAUAUUUAUAUAUCCAUAUUGUUCCAUGUUUUUUUUCUAUAUUUUAAAUGAUUUUUCUUUUCUUUUUGAAUUUUCACUAUUUUUUUAUUUUAUGUUUUCUAAAAAGAAAAGCAUUUUUUUUAGUUCCAGGAAAGCUUUUAAUUUUUCUUUAUUUUUAAAUUUUUUGAGAUUUUCCUUUUUCCUUUUUUUUUUUUUGCAAUUUUCUGUUCUUUUUACAUUUAUUUAAGAAAAAAAGAAAUUUGGGUGACGUAAAGUGCCACAUCAUUUCUUUUAGCAGCAGCAAGAGCUGAGGUAACUUCAGAUAUCAAAUUGAUAAAUCCUUUUUAAGUACCGAAAUAAUAAUUGAGUACAAUUUAGGGGUAAAUAGUAUAUUAACCAUUUAUUAUAUUAAAAAUUUGUUUUAUGUUUCCAUAUUUAAUGAUACCAAUUAACAUUAUAUUUUAUUAAAAAAAUAUACAACUAACCGAAUUAUUUUGAAUUUAAUAAAAACAAUUUCUUAAAUAAUAAUGAAAUAAUUUUUAAUCAAUACUUAUAAAAACAGUCAACACAUUUCAUUAUCCUGUAUCCAUUCUAAAUUUUUAAGUAAGCAUUAUUGAAAACAAUAAAUUAAGCAAAUAAAUAAAUAAGUAGAAGACAAACUGAUACAAUAUUUGAAGUCACCAAUUUGAGAUUUAAUAAGAAAGUUCUGGCUGCCUCUUUUGACUAGUACCAAUUCAAUGAAUAUUAAGAAAUUAACAUAAAUCCAACUAAAAAAAUUGAGAGUAGUGAAGUUCUUACGCUUCAAGUUCAGUCUAUAAAUAGCAUCUUAGUUCUCUAUCAUCUCACAACUCAACUCAAUCAUCCACUUCUUCUCUUAUUUGAACUCAAAGUCCCAGCUAAUAUUAGAAUCAUGGGUGUUGUCACUUAUGACUAUGAGAAUACCUCCCCAGUCGCCCCUGCCAGGCUUUUCAAGGCCUUUACUGUUGAAGCUCCGAAAGUUUGGCCCACGGCUGCACCUAAUGCAGUCAAGAGCCUUGAGGUUGAAGCUAAUCCUAGCUCUGGAAGUAUCGUAAAAAUCAACUUUAUUGAAGGUUAGUUCUUUCAUUUUCACUUUCAUUGGCCUUCUUGUAGUCUGUUUUACACGAGUAUGUUGGAUAACAAGUAUUUAUUUCUUUAGGCCUUCCAUUCCAAUAUAUGAAGCACCAGAUCGGAGGACAUGAUGAAAGUAAUUUUUCAUACA